rnacentral:lncRNA from 1 species
AUUGUGUCUCAAUUGGCCCCGGAACCUCAAAUUUGUGGAUCGAAAAUGUUGCAUGUGGACCCGGUCAUGGAAUAAGGUAUGAAGUCAAAAUAUGCAUCUAUGAUUGAUAAAACUAACAAGCUGCCUAGUAUGCAAUAAUAUAUAUAUAUAUAUAUAUAUAUAUAUAUAUAUAUAUAUACUUCACAGAAUGUACAUAUUCGUUUGUGGGCUUUAUAUAUUUGUGAAUGUAACAUUUGUUUUGGUUGGUGGUUCAGCAUUGGGAGUCUAGGCAAGGAUCAACAAGAGGCUGGUGUGCAAAAUGUAACAGUUAAAACGGUUACUUUUACUGGUACCCAAAACGGUUUAAGGAUCAAGUCUUGGGGGAGGCCGAGCACUGGGUUUGCUAGGAACAUUCUUUUUCAACAUGCCGUAAUGAUCAAUGUCCAAAAUCCCAUUGUUAUCGACCAAAACUAUUGCCCUGAAAAAAAAGGGUGUCCUGGUCAGGUAAGAUAUCAACACAACGCCAUUUUCUUCGACAAAUAUAGCCAUCAAAUGAUUAUACAUGUCUAAUUUUAGAACGUACCAAAAGCAUUCAUAACCACUUGCUCUCAUUCGAUAAUUUUUGUGUUCGUUCAAGCAGGUUUCUGGAGUUCGAAUUAGCGAUGUGACAUACCAAGACAUCCACGGUUCAUCGGCAACAGAAGUUGCAGUUAAAUUUGACUGUAGUUCCAAGUACCCUUGCAGCAAGAUCAGAUUGGAGAAUGUGAAACUUACUUAUAAGAACCAAGUUGCUGUAGCUACAUGUAGCCAUGCAGGUGGAACAGCUGCGGGCAUGGUUCAACCUACAAGUUGUUUGUAGAGGGCAAAUACAAAUUUUUGUAUUAAGUCUGAAUCAUCGUGAAUCACAUAGAAGGAAAUUUAAAAUUUUGUCUCUAGAACAAUGGACAAAAAGAAGUAGAAUUGUACGAAAUUAUAGGGAAAUUUUAGUGUUAGGUCAAUGAAAUUGAAGUCAUUGCUUUAUCCUGUGGCGUUGGAAGCACAUUAUUGGUCUUCCUUUGAGCCUGGUCUUGUAAUCAGCUAAUUUCUCCAAACCCCUCGAAUUCGAUGGGUGUUUGUAUCAUGGAGUAUGAAGAUGCAUUUCUAUUUUUCAUUUCUAGCUUUUUAUGAUAUGAUUAAAUAAAAGGAUAAACCGUAUCGAAGUGCAAGGAACAAAUGAAAUUGACCUUCUUCCUAAAAAAUAUAUAUAACUUGUUCUGUUCUCUAAAACCUCUUCCGAGAACUACGACUACAAGCCAAGUCGGAAGCGACUCGCUUCUAUUCUCAUCGGAACUAUGACUAAAACCUCUUCCAAGAACUAUGGCGGGGUAUGCAUGCGAUGCCGGUUUUCCAAUCCCCAGUCUCAUUGAAAAGACCCUCUAUAUUUGAAAGUGCAAGGAACCAUUCUUCUAUAUAACAUUUUCCCAUCACAGUAUUUUGUUACAAAUUCGACAUUGUAUCUCCUUGUUAUAAGCAUAACCCUUAUUUCCAUAUUUCCUGCGCACAAUCAAAAUUAUAUAGAUUAGUAUAGUUUUUACCAUGCACUAUUAUAACCACUAGAGCCAUGACUAUCGAAAAAUCUUGUACCAACAAAACUGUUGGUGUAUAAGUGUGGCUGCUGAAAUGCAAUUAGAAUAGGAAGGUUCUAUUUUGGUUAGAAAGGCUGCGUUGGCUCAUAGUAAAAGUGUACAGCAGAGAAUGUAAUAGCUUAUGCCACUUGUCAUUAUCUCAUAGGGUAAUGAUUAAAUGGCUAAGAUUGAGUGAUGUAAUAGGGAAUAUUUCUUCUCUAACGGUUUUGUCAGGGUCACAAUAUAUGCAUGAUUUUGGUGCUGAGCUAAUUCAUAUAGCCAGCUUCUUCUCCAAGCUCUCUCUCUAUUCUCUAAAACUCUCUGCAUUUUCUUUGAAACCUAUUACAUGUUUGAUUGAAUUAAUAUGCAAGAUAAUGGUCUGCAUAUUCUAACAUGGCCUCAGAGCCAGGUUUGAUCAAGUAAUACUGGGCGUUUUUUCUGUGCUAAGCUAUUGAAGUUGCAACUGAGCUUGAGUUCUGCAGAUCUGAGUCUAACAUGGCUGGGUCAAGUGGUGGUGAAUUGAGAGCACCAAUUUUCAAUGGUGAGAACUACGAUUUCUGGAGCAUAAGGAUGAAGACCAUCUUCAAAUCUCAUGGACUGUGGGAUUUGGUAAUAAAAGGAUUUGAUGGUACGGAUCUGAAGAAGUCAGAUGAAUCUGAUGAUAAGAAAAAGGAGACAGAAGAAUCAAGUGAGAAAGGCAUGGUUGCUGAGGUACUCAUGAAGGAUACUAAGGCUCUUGGAUUGAUUCAAGGAGCAGUUUCAGAAGAGAUAUUCCCACGAAUCUCUCAUGAAGAAACAUCAAAAGGUGCCUGGAGUAUUCUGCAGCAAGAAUUCCAUGGAGAUAAGCAGGUAAGGAGUGUUAAAUCGCAAGGUCUUAAAAGAGAAUUUGAAUAUACAAGAACGAAGGAUGAUGAAUCCUUAACUGCCUAUGUUACUAAACUAUUUGAUUUGAUAAAUCAAAUGAGAAGUUAUGGGGAGGAAUUGCCUAGGGAGAGAAUUGUUCAAAAACUGCUUAUUAGUCUGCCAUCUACCUAUGACUCUAUCUGUUCAGUUAUUGAACACUCUAGAGAUCUGAAAGAGAUUGAGGUGCAGGAGGUUGUAGCCUCACUAAAGAGCUUUGAGUUGCGUUUAGAUAGGCAUUCUGAAAACAGAACAGAGAAGGCAUAUUUGCGAGCCUUAGUGUAGAUGCCAAACAGACUAAAACUGGAGAACAGAACAGCAAGCAAAAUAAGAAUUGGAAAUCCAAAGGCAAGAAGUGGGAUAACAAGGCAAGUGAAGGCACUAAAACUCCCUGCAAGCACUGUGGUAAGCUACAUUUUGGUGAAUGUCGAUUCGAGGGCAAGCCAAAGUGUUAUAACUGUGAUAAGCUUGGCCACAUUGCAAAAGACUGCUACAGCAAGAAAACACCACAGCAGGUCAACUAUGCUACUCAAGUGGAAGCUACACCAACAAUGUUCUAUGCUAGCAAUGCAAGUGGUGCUGGUGUAACAAGGGAUGAAGAGAUCUGGUAUUUGGACAGUGGGUGUAGUAAUCACAUGACAGGAAAAGAGGAUUUGCUGGUGGAUAUUGACAGAAAUGUGACUGCCAAGGUUGAAAUGGGAACUGGACAGCUUGUAGAGGUAACUGGAAAAGGCACUCUUGUGGUUGAAACCAAAGUAGGCAAGAGACAUAUCAAAGAAAUAAUGCUUGUACCUGGACUGAAAGAGAACUUACUCCGUGUGGGACAGAUGAUAGAGCAUGGCUACUAUUUGGUAUUUGGAGAUCACAAGGUGGAAAUCUACAAUGACAGCUCUCAUACAAAUCUGGUGGCAAAAGUUCAGAUGAAAGGAAAUAGAAGCUUUCCUUUGAAAUUGCAGGCUGAAAUGCACUUAGCUUAUAGAGCAGGUGUAGACCAUUCCACUGACCUCUGGCAUAGAAUAUUUGGAAAUCUCAAUAUGAGUAGUCUGAAACUGUUGAAAGAGCAAGAUAUGGUAGUAGGGCUGCCAGAAAUUAAAGAAGUUAAAGAGGUUUGUGAGGGUUGUGUUCUAGGUAAGCAGAGUAGAGAAGCAUUUCCAAGAGAAGCUACCACUAGAGCAUCAACUCCACUAGAACUUAUUCACAGUGACAUCUGUGGUCCUAUGCAGACAGUUACCAAAGCUGAAAAUAGGUUUUUUCUCACUUUCAUUGACGAUUGCACAAGGAUGUGUUGGGUUUAUUUCUUAAGGCACAAGUCAGAAGCUCUAAAUGUGUUUAAGAAAUUCAAAGCCACUGUGGAAUUGCAAAGUGGUUACAAACUAAAAAAAUUGAGAAGUGACAGAGGGGGAGAAUACACUUCAGUGGAGUUUGACAGGUUCUGUGAUAAUGCAGGCAUUGAAAGGCAGCUUACAACUCCAUACACACCACAGCAAAAUGGUGUGGCAGAGAGGAAGAAUAGAACUAUAGUAGAAAUGGCCAAGUGUUUGCUGUUGGAGAAGAAAAUUUCAUUUGACUUCUGGGCUGAGGCAGUCAACAUAUCUGUGUAUAUUUUGAAUAGGUGUCCAACACUACUACAUUUUACACUUUGCGCGACGAAGAGAAUUUCGUCGCGCAAAAUACAUUGUAGUCGCACAAAUUUCAGCGCGACAGAAACUUCGUCGCGCAAAGAUCGUGAAGAAAGACUUUGCGCGACGAAGUUUUUUCAUUGGUCACGCAAAGUGACUUUGCGCGACGAAAAAAUAUUGGUCGCGCAAAGCGACUUUGCGCGACGAAAAGAUUGGUCACUCAAAGUGACUUUGCGCGACGAAAAAUAUUGGUAACGCAAAGUUGUGCACGACGAAAUACAUUGGUUGCGCAAAGUUUAAAAAAAAUUUAAAAAAAAUAAAAAAUUUCCGCGUCCAAUUUUUGGUACCUGCCCAAAUUUUUUGAGUUUUGCGCGACGAAUAUUAACGUCGCGCAAAUAUUUGCGCGACGAAAUAUUUUUUGUUUUAAAUUUUUUUAAUUUAAAAUAAACUAAUUUAAUAGUUUGCGCUACGAAAUAUUUUGUCGUGCAAGGUUUUUGACUUUUUGUUUUAUUAUUUCUUUAAUAUGAAUUUAUUUAUAUGAAUUUUUUCAAAUUUUUACUUUUUAAAUUUAAUUUAAUUGUAUGAUUUCUUUUUAAAAUUACUUUAAUUUAAAUUGAUAUUAAUUUUUACUUUUUAAAUUUAAUUUAAUUGUAUGAUUUUUUUAAUUACUUUAAUUUAAAUUGACAUAUUCAAAAUAAAAUUACAUAUGAAAAAUAGUGAUUAAAUUAUCCAAUAAAUAUAUAUAUAUAUAUAAUAUUCAAAAUGUACACAUAAAUUAACAAAGUACAAUAAUAAAAUCCUAAUACAAGCGUAUUGUGGUGGUAGUGGCGGAGGAUAUGUUUUGAUAGCUUCCUAAUCCUCAACUUUAGCCGUCAAAGUCUCGAUGAUUCCCUAGAAAAAAAACAAAUAUGGUUAAAUAACCACAAAAAAAAAAAAAGAAAAAAAAAAGGCAUAAUCUCCCCUAAAAUUGUUAUACCACAAAUCCAACCCAAACUCCAAUCCCUCCCCUUUACUCAACCCCAAAACCCACACAAACUCAAAAUUAACUCCAAAAACACAUAUUAAUGAAAAAAAUUUAAAAUUUGGAGAGAAUAUACCUUUUGGCAAGAUUGAGAGUGAAUGAGAAUGAGAGGGAGAAGUGAGUGUGAGAGAAUUAGAGAAGAUAGUGAUAGAGAGAUGAGAGAGUGAGUGAGAGAGAUGAGAGAGUGAGAGAUAGUGAAGAGAGAGAUGAGAGAUUAAGUGAGAGGAGUGAGUGAGAGAAUGGUGGGAUUUGGGGAGAGGGAAAGAGAAAGGAGAGGUAAGAGUAGAGAAAGGCAUUGAGAAAAUGGUGGAGGAGUUAUUUCGGUUUUAAAAAUUGUAUCACUUUGCGCGACGAAAAAUAUUGUUGGUCGCGCAAAGGUUUGCGCGACGAAAAAUAUUGGAAUAUUGAUUGCGCAAACUUUUGCGCGACGAAACGUAUUGGUCGCGCAAAGUUUUGCGCAACGAAACAUAUUGGUCGCGCAAAGUCUAAAAAAAUUAUUUAAAAAAAAUAAAAAUCCCCGCGUCCCAUUUUUGGUACCCGCCAAAAUUUUUAAAUUUUUGCGCGACGAAUAUAGGAAUAUUGGUCGCGCAAAGUCUAACAAAAUUAUUUUAAAAAAAAUAAAAAUCCCCGCGUCCCAUUUUUGGCAUCUACCAAAAUUUUUAAAUUUUUGAGCGACGAAUAUAGGAAUAUUGGUCGCGCAAAGUCUAAAAAAAUUAUUUAAAAAAAAUAAAAAUCCCCGCGUCCCAUUUUUGGUAUCCGCCAAAAUUUUUAAAUUUUUGCGCGACGAAUAUAGGAAUAUUGGUCGCGCAAAGUCUAAAAAAAUUAUUUAAAAAAAAUAAAAAUCCCCGCGUCCCAUUUUUGAUACCCGCCAAAAUUUUUAAAUUUUUGCGCGACGAAAAAUACAUAUUGGUCGCGCAAAGUCUAAAAAAAUUAUUUAAAAAAAUAAAAAUCCCCGCGUCCCAUUUUUGGUACCCGCCAAAAUUUUUAAAUUUUUGCGCGACGAAAAAUACAUACUGGUCGCGCAAAGUCUAAAAAAAUUCACAUGUCCGAUUUUUGGUACCCGCCCAAAUUUUUGCGAGACGAAAAAUAUAUAUUGGUCGCGCAAAGUUUUGAGCGACAAAAAAUAUUGGUCGCGCAAAGUCUAAAAUUUUUUUUUUUUUUUUUAAAAUCCCGCAUCCCAUUUUUGGUACCCGUCCAAAUUUUUAGAGUUUUGCGCGACAAACUGUUGGUUGUGCAAACUUUUGAGAGACGAAAAAUUGGUUCAUAACACAAUAUUUAUAAAAAUAAUUGUUAUGAAUAAUAAAAAUAAAAUAAUUUUAUUUUACAAUUUCAAAUAUAAAUAAGGUUAAAGCUGCUUAAUAAAUAUAUAUACUAUUCAAUUUCUUAAGUGUUAUACGUACAAAAUAAAUAAAUUUAAAGCUACUUAAUAAAUAAAUAUAUAUACACACCCCAUUCAACGAUCCAACCGUCAGACUUAUUUGUAUAUACUUCAAGAUCGUAUACCCCAAAAAUCGCAAAAAACAAACAUUCAGAGAUCUAGUAACGGGACAAAACUUUUCGAUGGUUAUAAAUGAAAAAUUACGAUUUAACGGUUAUUUUAACUCCGAUUUUGAUGAUUUUUUUUUACAGCUACACUCCUUGACCAUAUAUGAAUACAAUGACUGAAUUUGAUCUUCAAUUUAAAAUAUUUACACUAGUGGAUACCACAAAAUCUUAUGUUAUAUCUAACGAACGUAUAAAUAACCUCUUAAUUGUUAGUGAAUAUAUUGUUUUGAUAGCAUAUGCAUUCACCAAAACUAGUUUCAACGAUCCAACCGUCAAACUUGUUUGUUUAUACUUCGAGAUCAUAUACGCCAAAAAUCGGAAAAAAUAAACAUUCAGAGAUCAAGUAAUGGGACAAAACUUUUCGACGGUUAUAAUGAAAAAUCACGAUUUAACGGUUAUUUUAACUCCGAUUUUGAUGAUUUUUUACAGCUACACUCCUUGACCCUAUAUGAAUACAAUGACUGAAUUUGAUCUUCAAUUUAAAAUAUUUACACUAGUGGAUACCACAAAAUCUUAUGUUAUAUUUAACGAACGUAUAAAUAAACUCUUAAUUGUUAGUGAAUAUAUUGUUUUGAUGGCAUAUGCAUUCACCAAAACUAGUUUCAACGAUCCAACCGUCAAACUUGUUUGUUUAUACUUCGAGAUCAUAUACGCCAAAAAUCGGAAAAAAUAAACAUUCAGAGAUCAAGUAAUGGGACAAAACUUUUCGACGGUUAUAAUAAAAAAUCACGAUUUAAUGGUUAUUUUAACUCCGAUUUUGAUUAUUUUUUACAGCUACACUCCUUGACCCUAUAUGAAUACAAUGAACUAAUUCGAUCGUCAAUUUAAAAUAUAUAUUUUCUAACAAAAACCCAAUCUAAACAACAAUAAUAUAUUUUUCUAACAAAAAUCCGAUCCGAUCUAAAAUAAUAAAUUUAAAGCUACUUAAUAAAUAUAUAUACUGUUUAAUUUCUUAAGUGUAAUGCAUACAAAAUAAAAAACAAAAAUAAAUUAGUUUUGGCGACGAAAUGUUUGGAUUACGUCAUGCAAAGAUUUUAAAAUAUAUAUAUUUUAUUUUUAUAAGGACUUUGCGCGACGAAGUUUAUUGUUUCGUCGCGCAAAGUCACUUUGAGCGACGAUAUAUUGUUGUCGCGCAAAGUUACUUUGUGUGACGAAUUUUUUUUCGUCGCGCAAAAUUUGGUCGCGCAAGACUUUGAGCGACGAUGUAUUGUCGUCGCGCAAAAGUUUGUCGCGCGAAGUGACUUUGCGCUACAAAUUGUUUUUCGUCGCGCAAAAUUUGGUCGCGCAAGACUUUGAGCGACGAAGUUUUGAGUUUCGUCGCGCAAAAUGACUUUGAGCGACGAAUAGUUUUUCGUCGCGCAAGGGGUUUUUUUUACUAGUGCAACUAAAGCCUUGAGUAAAAGGACACCAUUUGAGGCUUAUAGUGGGAGGAAACCAGGAGUUAAGCAUCUAAAGGUAUUUGGUUCAUUGUGUUAUGCUCAUGUACCAAAACAGCAAAGACAGAAACUAGAUUUGGCAAGCAAGAGGUGUAUUUUUCUGGGGUAUGGCAGCUGUGAGAAAGGAUACAGGCUGUACAAUAUUGAAACUGGAAAAGUAAUUGUUUCAAGAGAUGUGAUAUUUAGUGAAAAUGAGUGUUGGGAUUGGAAUGCAAAGAAGGAAACUAGUGUGAACAUUCAGCUCACUGAAAUCAGAGAAGAAGAAUAAGGAGCAGAAGGGAGUUCUUGUGAAUUUGAAGAACAAUUGGAAGUGAAUGAGAUGCCUAGCUUAAACACUGAAACCAGUGACCUAGAAAGGGUCACAGGAUCACAGGAUGUUGAUCAUACUCCUCUCAAGUACAAGAGCAUUGCAGAAAUUUAUGAAAAAUGCAACAUGUGCAUUAUAGAACCAGAAAGUUUUGAAGAGGCAGCAAAGGAUGACUCUUGGAAGAAAGCAAUGGAAGAUGAAAUCACCAUGAUUGAAAAGAACAAUACAUGGGAGCUUGUGGAUAGACCAUUUGAUAAACCAAUCAUUGGAAUCAAAUGGGUCUAUAAGACUAAACUGAACCUAGAUGGAUCUGUGCAGAAGAAUAAGGCUCGGCUGCAAAGGGAUAUUCUCAAAAGCCUGGAAUAGACUUCAAUGAGACCUUUGCACCAGUGGCUUGGCUUGAUACUGUAAGAACCUUGGUGGCUGUAGCUGCACAGAGAAACUGGAGAUUGUUUCAGCUGGAUGUAAAGUCAGCAUUUCUUAAUGGAGUGCUAAAUGAAGAAGUGUAUGUGGAUCAACCAUCUGGCUUUGUGAUACAAGGAAGUGAAGAUAAGGUGUAUAAGCUGAAAAAGGCCUUAUAUGGUUUGAAACAAGCUCCAAGAGCUUGGUAUGAAGAGAUAAAUUCCUAUUUCAUCAAAACUGGUUUUUAUAGAAGUCCAAGUGAAGCUACAUUGUACACUAAGAUGUCUACAAGUGGUAAUCUCAUUGUGUCCCUAUAUGUAGAUGAUAUUAUCUACACAGGAAGUUCAGAAGAAAUGAUGGCUGCAUUCAAGAAUGAUAUGAUGAGACAAUAUGAAAUGACUGACCUAGGACUGCUUCAUCACUUCCUUGGUCUUGGAGUCCUGCAAACUGAUACUUGCAUCUUCCUACACCAGAAGAAGUAUGCAAAGACCUUACUUGACAAGUUUGGACUUAAGGAUUGCAAGUCUGUUGCAACACCACUGGCAGUGAAUGAAAAGUUGUCAAAAGUGGAUGGAAGUGAACUAGCAGAUGAGACUUUGUAUAGGCAAAUGGUGGGAAGCUUGCUCUACCUGACUGCAACCAGACCAGAUAUCAUGUUUGCAGCAAGCCUCUUGGCUAGAUUCAUGCAUAAUCCAACCAAGAAGCACAUGGGAACAGCAAAGAGAGUGUUGAGAUAUAUUCAAGGCACUAUAAGCUAUGGAAUUGCUUAUGAGAAGGGAAAAGGAGCAGUGCUAAUAGGUUACUGUGACAGUGAUUGGAGUGGAAGUGAAGAUGACAUGAGGAGCACAUCAGGCUAUGCAUUCAACUUGGGGUCAGGUGUAUUUUCUUGGGUCUCAAUCAAGCAAAGCAGUGUUGCUCUGUCAACAGCAUAAGCUGAGUACAUGAGUGCAGCAGAAGCUACUGCACAAGCUAUGUGGCUGAGGUUUGUGUUAUCAGAUUUUGGAGAGGAACAGGUAGAACCAACUCAGUUGUUGUGUGACAACACUUCAGCUAUUGCUAUAUCAAAGAAUCAUGUUCAUCAUCACAAAACCAGACACAUCAACCGCAGGUUUCACUUCAUAAGAGAUGCUCUUCAAAAUGGUGAGAUCGAUUUGCUAUAUUGCAAAACUGAAGAGCAGCUUGCUGACAUUUUCACCAAGUCUUUAGCAAGAGAUAGAUUUGAGUAUUUGAGGAAAGCUCUAGGAGUUAUUUCAGCACAACACUUAUAAGGGAGUGUUGGUGUAUAAGUGUGGCUGCUGAAAUGCAAAUAGGAAGGUUCUAUUUUGGUUAGAAAGGCUGCGUUGGAUCAUAGUCCAAGUGUACAGUAGAGAAUGUAAUAGCUUAUGCCACUUGUCAUUAUCUCAUAGGGUAAUGAUUAAAUGGCUAAGAUUGAGUGAUGUAAUAGGGAAUAUUUCUUCUCUAACGGUUUUGUCAGAGUCACAAUAUCUGCAUGAUUUUUGUGCUGAGCUAAUUCAUAUAGCCAGCUUCUUCUCCAAGCUCUCUCUCUAUUCUCUAAAACUCUCUGCAUUUUCUUUGAAACCUAUUACAUGUUUGAUUGAAUUAAUAUGCAAGAUAAUGGUCUGCAUAUUCUAACACUAGAGCCAUGUCUAUUGAAAAAUCUUGUACCAACAAAACCAUAGCAAUCUUGAGAUCCAAGAUUUGACUGAGAAAUCACUGUUGGAACCAGAGAUCAAUGGGGCAAUAGAUGAAUGAGCUUGUUGAAAGAACCAGGACCAACAUGAAUCUUCCAAGAAGAAGAUUCUUCACUAUUAUCAUGGCAGACAGGGAGUGUGUAAGAGAUCACAAAGCCUUUUGUUCAACAGUUUUCUCUGCAGCCGACAGCUGAUAACGAAAUUCUUUCAGCGCAACUGGAGUCUCAAGUGACAGUAACAGAUCAUGUCAUACUUCGUACUUAGGCAAGCCAUGCAAGGGAAGUGAGCAAUAAUCACAUCCUCAUAGGAAAUCUUCAGACCAGAAGCUUUAAGGUCAUCUCUAGCAUUCUUAAUGCGCAGUAAGUACUACUCUGGCACCUUUGAAUUCAAUGCAACCGUGUCUUAUGACGAUUUAUACUAGCUAUCACAAGACGUUGUAACAUAUCUAUCAAUCAGAUUCUUUACCGCAUUACACAAGGUCCUACCACCACAAAUAUACUGCAGUCACCAUUAGUCAAAUGUAGCAAGCAAUAAACUGAGUAAUGCCUUAUUCUGUUUUCAUCCAGGACUUAAAGGCCUCAGUAAUGACAGACUUAGAAGACAAAACUUUGAACAAUCAAAAUAGCCAAAAAAAUCAUUGCCUUUGAGAACAUAUAUUGAAACAGAUAACUCCACUUGAUAAACGUGCCUAUCAUUGAGGGGAAGCAACCCCAUCAAACAAUCAAUAUCAGUUUGUGUACACAUCAGCUUAACAAUGCUCACAAAAUUGAUAAGUCCAUAAAUUUAAACAUUUAUGUACUCUUUAUACUUAGUUUUUGUAGGAGAAUUUGAUUUACAAAUGACUUAUGACUUCAUUUUCUCAAUUUUCAGCUUUUUGGAGCAAGUAAUUGGUUUUCAACGGAAAAAUGACUUUUUGGUGGAGUUUUAGUACAAGACCAGAUAGAGAUGAAAGCUAAGAUGUCACAUCUCGGGAUUGGCUCCGUCGUAGCACGAUAUUGUCCACUUUGGGCCCCCCCUCUCUACCCUCACGGUUUGGUUUCUGAGAACUCACGAGCAACUUCCCAGUGGGUCACCCAUCAUGGGAUUGCUCUAGCCCCAACUCGCUUAACUUUGGAGUUCCCAUGACUCCGAAGUCAGGGAGCUCCCAAAAGGCCUCGUGUUAGAUGGAGGCGGGCACGUACAUAUAAGACGUAUCACCCCCUCUCCGUUGGUCGAUGUGAGAUGUUACAAUCCACCCCUAUUAGAGGCCCGACGUCUUCAUUGCCACACUCACACCACACGGCAGAGUGACUCUGAUACCAAAUAGUCACAUCCCGGGAUCGGCUCCGCCGUAGCACGAUAUUGUCCGCUUUGAGCCCCCCUCUCUGCCCUCAUGGUUUUGUUUCUAGGAACUCACGAGCAACUUCCCAGUGGAUCACCCAUCCUGGGAUUGCUCUAGCCCCAACUCGCUUAACUUCGGAGUUCCCAUGACUCCGAAGUCAAUGAGCUCCCAAAAAGCCUCGUGCUAGAUGAAGGUGGGCAUGUACAUAUAAGGCAUAUCACCCCCUCUCCGUUGGUCGAUGUGGAAUGUUACAUAAGAUCUUGAAGAUGAUUGUGGAAUUUUUCUAGAAUUUUCGGAGCAUCCAAUGAGAGCAGUCUUUGAAGUUAAAUCAGCAUAAGAUGCAAUCCCAUCAAAACUGUGCUACUGUGGAAGAAUGAUUAUUUGAAGACUUUUAUGAUUUUUCGUCAAGAUGUGCAAUAUAUGGCUGGAAAGAUAAGACAAUGACCUACAAUUUACAUAUUUUUUCCAAAUUUUCUUGGAGGAGGAAUGAUUCCAAACGUGCGUGCAAAAUAACUAACGUGUUAUCCUAGUGAAAGUAGGAAAAGGAGUCAAUUACUUACCCAUUUUGGAUUUAUGUUUUAAUUAGGUUUUUAUUUAUUUUUGGGUUGUUGUAAAAGGCCAGCUAGGGUAGGAAUAGACGUGUGGUGUUUUAUUUAAGCAUGAGAAACAACUCCUUUGGGAGGACCCAAAGACUAGGAGAAAUUGGAGAAGCCGGAAGAGUACCACAAUUGGCUAAGUUUUAUUGUUUCUUCUUUAUGCUUUUGUUUAUAUCGAAUUCUAUGAUUAUGUGUAACUAAUUUUCUUUUGCUAGGGCAUGAUGUAGCCCUAGUAUGAUAAUUUAUUUUUCUUAUUUUACCUAUCUAUUGAUUGCCAUUUGAUGUUGGAUUCUUAAUCAUUGUGCUUAAUACCUUAGUUGAUUAUCUUGAUGAUUGAUCAUCAUCUAGACUUUUAAUUGAGUUAAUUGGAUGCAAAUUAGAGUAAAUACCGUACUUAAUUUGUGGCUUGCUUCUUGUGAUUAAGAUUUGUAAUUCGUUUAGGGUAAAUACCAUACUCCUAGGGUUUACAUGCUUGUUGGAGGUUUUCACUGGUCUUAGUGAGUUUCUAUGUGUUGAUAUUUGACCUAAAUAACAUAGGCGAAUUGCAUGUAGGAAUAUACGAGUUAGCCUAAAUACCAUAGGUAAUUCAUGAAAAAUGAAAACUAGGCGGCGACAUCAAAUGGUUAGUUAAUAGGUAGGUGAAUAAGAGGCUAGAUCGGAUUACUAGUGGUGAAUUCAUUGUCCUAGUGCUUUUAUCAAUUUGAAUUUCUCACCCUUGUGUUUCAUGACUUUCUACUUGUUUUGUCUUUUAAUGUUGUAAAUUAAAUCAUUCUUUCAAAAACCCCUUUUGUGUUUACGUGAGUAUGCUACAUGUUUAAUUUCUUGUUUAUAUAAUUAGAGUAGUUAAAGUAUUUUGUGAAGUAAAUUAGGUUAGACUAAUUGGAAGUUGAACUCAAUCCUCGUGGGAAUGACCUCAUAUUUUCCAUACUAUAUUACGAUUGACCUGGUACACUUGCGAGUAUAAUUUGUGUUUAGACUAAUCUUUAUAAUCUCCUUUUUUCAGGUUGUCUAAAAUUCACAACAAGUUUUUGGCGCCGUUGCCGGGGAUUGGCUUCAUCAAAUACGAUUUAGUUCAAUCUAAAUUUAGCUUUUCAGUUUUUUUUUUUUUUUUUUUUUUUUUUAUAAAAAAAAGUUCAUUUUUGUUUUCUUAGUUUUAUUUUAUUUAUUUCGUUUUUUUUUAAAUUUUACUUGAAAAUUUAAAUUGGAAUUGAUUUGUGUUUCUUGUUUGUCUUGUGUAUAGGUUCGGCUUAGUGUAUGACUAGUAGACUCUCUCAAGGUCAAGACCUCAUAUUGUUUGAUCCUAAGAUUGAGAGAACAGUUGAGCAUCAAGAAGACAAAGGUCUCGUUGAAAAUAUAAACGAGAAGAGUGACAAGAACGUUGGGGAACAACAAUUAGAGCAAGAGGAAGCAAUGGAACGAGCACCACCUGCUCGAGCUCUGAAGGAGUACUCCAUCCAAUACUCCAUCAUGUAUUGUAGUACCAAAAGUCGAAGCAAAUUCAUUUGAACUCAAAUCCGGAAUGAUUCACUUGUUACCAUCUUUCUGUGGCAAGUCGAGCGAAGAUCCUAACAUGUAUAUUCGGGAAUUUUUUGACAUUUAUGGUACCAUCAAGAUCCUAAAUGUCUCUGAAGAAGUAGUUAGGCUGAAAUUGUUCCCGUUUUCAUUAAAGGAUAGAGCCAAAGCUUGGCUUCACUCACUACUAGCUGAAUCCAUUAAUUCAUUGGAGGGAUUAGCUCAAAAAUUUCUCUAGAAAUUCUUCCCUGUGCCAAAAAUGAAUUAGCUUAGAAGAGAUAUAAUGCAUUUUACUCAAGGAGAGCAUGAGCCAUUCUAUGAAGCUUGGGAGAGAUUUAGAGAGUUGCUGCAAAAAUGCCCUCAUCAUGGCAUUAUUGAUUGGAUACAGAUGCACUUAUUUUAUGAAGGACUUACGACUGCAAACAAACGAAUGGUUGACUCUGCAUGUGGAGGUGCAUUGAUGGAGAAGAGACUUUAAGAAGCGUUUGAUCAAUUUGAUUUGCUUGCUAAUAAUAAUCAACAAUGGGGCAGUGAGCAGACAAAGAAGGCAGGAGUUCAUGAAGUCAACACCAACACUACGUUUGCUACUUAAAUUUCAAGCCUUGAGAAAAAACUUGAAACUCUUAUGUGUGCUGUUAUUCCACCUUCCCCACAACAAGUUUGCACCAUUGUUCUGACCCUACUCAUUCAAUGGAAAUUCGUCCAUUUACUACGCAAGGUUCUACGCAAGUUCUCCAAGUUAAUUCGUUUCAGCAACCUCAGAAUGAUCCAUAUUCGAACGCCUAUUAUCCAGGGUGGCGUAACCACCCAAAUUUUUCAGGGAGCAACCAAUAAAAACAAGCUAGUUCUAGCCAUCCCUUCCGGCAGCAAAUGUAGCCUUCAAGCUAGCCUAAGAAACCAGCGUUGGAGGACUUAAUUGCUUAGUUUGUACAGACUUCUCAACAAAAUCAUAACAUUAUGCAAGCGUCCAUCACUAAGUUAGAAAUUCAAGUAGGUCAACUCGCUACUAUUGUGCAUGAGAGGGCGCAAGGCACAUUCCCAAGCCAACCCGAAAUUAAUGCUCGAAAUGUUGAACACGUCAAGUCCAUUAGAACUUUGAGAAAUGACAAGCCAUAUGAUAGACGAGAAGAAGCCACAACAAGUGCUGGAAAAGAAUAUGAAGGUAGAGAAGAAACUAAAGGACUACUUCCAGCACCUACCUAAGGCAAACCAGGUGAUUCCGAAAGAAUCGCUAAUGAUGAUCAAAUUGCCUCUAUCAAAGAAAGGAUAUUUUGUGCAAUCUAUACUAUACUCUUCAUACAGUCAAAGAGGUGAGAAGAUAGUAAGGGAUGCCCAGGCCAUCUCAGGCAUAUGAAUAGCUCCGCCCUUGGUCCACCUCAUCUGUCACAUAAGGUGGUAUGAAAAUAUGAUAUAUAUAAAUGUGGUAAGAAUAGCAUUAUUCUAAUGACAUAUCUUACUUCUAUCAAAAUCUUGAGCAUGAGGCUCAAACCCUGAUAUGAUGUUAAUAAUAUAUUUCAGUUUAAUGUCUUGUAGGUUUGAGAAAACUAUUAGUUCGUAUUACCAUGUAAGUCAUGCUAGGAUACUGCUCUAUAAUUUCUGAUCAUAAAGAAAUGAAAAAGGCAAUUUAGGAAUAAGAAUUAUAUGUUUAAAAUUAGCUUACUUAUCACAUAAUAUAAAUAAAAAAAGUUCGAUACAAAGUUUAAGGACAAGAGUUAAAAUUUAAUCAAAAUCUUGAUUUUUAUAAAAUAAAUAAAUAAAUAAAAAUUAGAUCUUAUUGAAGGAUGUUAGUCUAGCUUCCUCUUUUUUUUUUCUUCUUUUUUUUUUUCUAAUCAUGAAUUCUCAAUAAAAUUGUAAUUGACCGGCAUUAUUAUUAGUUGGCGGAUGCCUGUAUAGCAGUGGCGGAGCCAGCAUAGGACCAGUGUGGUCCCAGGCCCCCACUCCAAUUUUUAUUUAUUUAUUUGUAUAAUAUAUAUGAUAUAUAAUAUUAUAAUAUAUUAUAUUAGUUUUAGGAUAUUUAUUUUACAAUAAAAAUAAUAUAUUAGGUUCUUUUUGUCUACAAAUUAACCAUAAAAUUUCUUGAUCUCUCUUUUACUCAUCUCCCUUAAAUCUUCUAGGUUAGUUUAUGAUAUUUGCACUAAAAACUCCUAAAGUUUUAACCUUCCGUUCUCUUUCUCUUUUGUUUAAAGCUUUGUGAAUUUUUUAUUUUCCUCAUUUUUUUAUGUAUGAGUUGGGUACCUUAAUAUUGCGCUUUAUGAACCUUUUUUUUUUUUUUUUUUUAUAAUUUCUUUUCUCUUUUGGAAUAUAAAUUAUCAAAUUUGAAGUCUUUAAUAGUGUUGAUGAUGAUACUAGCUAGUAUUUAACUAAUUUAAAAUAUGAAAUUCAUGAUAAUUAUGAAGAGAAGAGAAGAUUUAUGAAGGGCCCCCUCUAAUGUGAAAUUAUGACUCUGCCACUUCCGUAUGGUACGUAUCUGGAUGAAAAGCAGACAAUAAUAGCUGCACUAUAUAAAAUAUAUAUACAUAUGUAUAUGUUUGUAAUAAGGAAUAAUGAAAGGAGGAAAUAUGGUACGAUACAAGUAGGUGACAAAAUGGCCAGAAAUUUUCAUGGUUGUCUUCCACUGUUAGCGCCAAUACGUUCAAUUGAAGCAACCAAAUGAAUAAAAAUCUGUUCGUAUUCACGAAUUCUUAAUAACGCUGACGCAUUCAUUGAAUAAAAAUCUGUUGGUACAAAACUAAUUGAAUAUUGGAUCAAUUGCAACAUAUGCACAUGUGCAUGCGCAUGGUGUGUUUAGAUUAAAUGACCAGUUUUACUAUUGCACCAAGUUUUGCAAAAGGGCAUGCAAAGUAGGUCGUAUGUUUAACAUGGAAAAAUAGGAGUGGGAAACAGGAUAAAACGUGCAUAUAAUACGGCAAGUCUGGAAAUUUCGGGCGACAACUCAAUUUUUGGAAUAAUUUUUGGAUAUUUCGGAUACACUACGUGGUUGGUGUACCAUCCAAUAAACGAAAGAUAUAUGAAAUAUUUGCAAUGCAGCCCGCCACAUGUUAUAAAAAGAAAUGCAGUAAAUUAGACAACAAUUCCACAUGUCCUAUGUUUAUUGGAUAGUACACCAGCCACGUGGUUUACUCGGAACAUAUAAAAAAUUCUCCAACUUUUGGGCCAAAAUGUCCCACCUUUUAUCUAGUGUCGACACGGAAAUUAGGAGGUGAGGCGAUUUCUUCUCCUAUAUCAGCGAUGUAUCAUCAAUAUUUUAGGAUAGUUUUGAUGUAUCUCGAUAUUUCGUACAAACACAAAAAUGUCCCAAAAUAGAAGAAAGAAGAUGCAAAUUCAAACAUAAUAAACAGUACAGUUGUUUAGAAUCUUUAACUGAGUCAAAUAUAAACCGAACUUAGCCUAACUGAGCACUCAUGUACUAACCCAACCAAUUACUCAAACCAAGUGUUUUUGUAUCAAGAACUAUUGCCUCGAGUUGGAGGGCCCAUGUUAUAUGCGCGCGCAUGCAUGUCUGAUAUUUUCAUCUUUUAUAACAGUGACAGAGGAGAUUCCAUUUUUGGGGAUCCAAUAAUAGAGAUUUAUAACAUGGGAUGCCAACAAUAUAGAUGUUUCAAUAUUUUCCCGACAUGGGAUGCCAACAACAUAGAUGUUUCAAUGUUUCAAUGUUUCAACAUGGAAGCAAUCACGUAAGGAUUAACAUGGCAGGACAUCAGACAUGAGAAACUAAGAAGAGAGAGAGAGAGAGAGAGAGAGAGAGAGAGAGACUUGCGGUUCAAGCAAGAGAAGGCCAUAACACUAUGUAGCAAUAGCACCGUAAAAUAAGAUGCAAAGAAUGAGGGUGGGGGUCGUGUUUUCAAGUACCAAAACACGCAAGGGCAAUUUGGUAAAGUACAUCUGAAAAUAAAUCAAGCAAGCAAAGCCGUAGAUAUCCUCUUCCUGCUACACAUAGUAUUAGCCUACGUAAGGUCAUUACGGCGCCGUUUCCCUUUUUAAUUGGCGUAGUUCAACUCAUCAUCCACCCAAGUUCAUUUCGUUCAAAGCUAUAAAUAACCCCUCAAACCAUUCAACUUUCCCACCACCACUCCUCACUCCUUCAACUCAUUAACCUCUCUCUCUCUCUCUCCUUCAACUCAUUAACCUCUCUCUCUCUCUCUCUCUCUCUCAUUUUCAUCCGCAAAUGGCGAACCGUAGAAGCCUCUUUUCUCUCUCACUUAUCUUUGUGUUCAUGAUCAACUCAGCCAUAGCCACUCCAGUCACAUACAAUGUGGCCAGUUUAGGAGCCAAAGCAGAUGGCAAGACUGACUCCACAAAAGCCUUCCUCUUUGCAUGGGCUAAAGCUUGUGCCUCGAUGAAUCCCGGUGUCAUUUAUGUGCCGGCAGGAACGUUCUUUCUUCGCGAUGUGGUGUUCAGUGGGCCUUGCAAGAACAAUGCCAUCACCUUCCGCAUUGCCGGAACCCUUGUGGCCCCGUCGGAUUACCGGGUCAUCGGUAAUGCAGCUAACUGGAUUUUCUUUCACCAUGUAAACGGGGUUACCAUAUCAGGUGGAAUUCUUGACGGCCAAGGCACGGCCUUGUGGGCUUGCAAGGCCUCUCAUGGCGAGAGUUGUCCCAGCGGAGCAACGGUAAUUAAUUCACUACUUUAAAUAUCAUAUUCAUGACACCAUUAAAUAUCAAAUUCAUGACACCAUUAUUUUGUGCUUCAUUAUUAGUGAGAAUUUUAAAGGUCAACGUACGUACAAUUUGCUUUAUUAUUUGCUACCAAUUGAAUUGAGGGUUUAUAAAAUAAGUUUAAACUCUACAGAACGUAAUCAAAUGGACAUGAUAAAUUGUACCACAAGCUUAGCUUGAUCAAGUAAUUUCGUGUAUAUAUGUGCAGACUUUGGGUUUUUCCGACUCAAACAACAUCGUGGUGAGUGGAUUGGCAUCCCUAAACAGCCAAAUGUUCCACAUAGUCAUCAACGACUGCCAAAAUGUGCAAAUGCAAGGUGUCAGGGUUUCUGCUUCCGGGAACAGCCCUAACACCGAUGGCAUUCAUGUCCAAAUGUCAUCUGGUGUCACAAUCCUCAACUCCAAGAUUGCAACCGGUGACGAUUGUGUCUCAAUUGGCCCCGGAACCUCAAAUUUGUGGAUAGAAGGCGUUGCUUGUGGACCUGGCCAUGGAAUUAGGUACGACAUCAAAAUUAUAUAUUUAUCCAUGAUUGAUCAAACUAGCUAAAUGCAUACUAUUUCAUAAUAUAUGUUAUAAUGUAUAUCUUUUUUCUUCGUUGCUUAAUGACAUUUGAACUUAGGACAUCUUUCAAUAAAGUGGAGAUUAAUUGGUUGCUAGUAGAGAUUCAUUGCCUACAAAAAGUAUAUCUUUCUUUUGGGUGGAUGUUCUAGUUGUAAAUUUAACAUUGCUUUAUUUGAUGGUUCAGCAUUGGAAGUCUAGGCAAGGAGCAAGAAGAGGCCGGUGUACAAAAUGUAACAGUUAAAACGGUUACCUUUACUGGUACUCAGAAUGGUCUAAGAAUCAAGUCAUGGGGGAGGCCAAGCACUGGGUUUGCUAGAAAUAUUCUUUUCCAACAUGCUACAAUGGUCAAUGUCGAAAAUCCUAUUGUCAUAGAUCAACAUUAUUGCCCCGACAACAAAGGGUGCCCUGGUCAGGUAAGAUAUCAUUCUUGCUCUAACGGUCAAUUCCCAGAGUUUAAUAUUACAACUAAAUUUUCUCUUCUUCACUUUCAUAGUGUAACGUUUUUGAUAAAAACGUUGGCAUCGCCAAAUUAUAACUGUCUAAUUUCGAAACAUAUCAAAAGCUUUCUUGGGCUUCCACCUAGAAGAGCCAAUAAUUUUAGACCCAAAGCAAAUCCAAUAACUCCUUCUUCCAUGGGCUUGCUCUCCUACUACUUACAAAGGUCGAGCCUUGCCCAUUGUAACCUUUGUAACUUAUUAAUUUCAUUGUAUGUGCAAUGAGAUUGAGGGUUGUAGCUUAAGUGGUUAACAAUAUUUACUCAUGUAUUCGAAGUUCUAGAUUUAAUUCCCCUCUUUUCCAAUACCAUUUUUAUCAAAAUGACUUCAUCGUAGCUUAGCCAAAAAAGCAUUAAACUUCCCAUUAAGCCGAAUUACCAUGCUAUAAUGCUUGUUCACCUUCUGUUUUAUCAAAAGCUGGAAAUCUGACUUCCUAUUGUUUUUUUUCUUUUGUCAAUUUUGUUUUUCGAUAGGUUUCCGGAGUUCAAAUUAGCGAUGUGACAUACGAAGACAUACACGGUACAUCAGCAACAGAAGUUGCAGUAAAAUUUGAUUGCAGUCCCAAGCACCCUUGCAGCGAGAUCAAAUUGGAGGAUGUGAAGCUUACUUACAAGAACCAAGCAGCUGAGUCUUCAUGUAGCCAUGCAGAUGGAACAACUGAGGGUGUGGUUCAGCCUACAAGUUGUUUGUAGAGUGGAAAAAUAUGAACUGCUUGUAGAAGUAUUGAAAUCCAAAAGUUUGCCCUCCAGUACUAAGGACAAAUGAAAAGUGAAUUAUACGAUUUAUAUAGGAAGAAUGAGCUUGUGUUGUUGGCAGCCUACUUGGGCUUCCCUUGAGCCUGGCCGUUCAAUUAGUUUAGUUUGUUCAAACUCGUCCACUUCGAUGGGUGUUUAUGUUAUGAAUUGUUGUAAGAUUAUGUUCGGGAUACGUUAAAUUUAUAAGAUUAAAUUUUAUGUUGAUGGCUAAUGUGGCAUUUGACAUAGGAUUCAAUAUUCUAUCAAUUUAAUUCACAAUUUUAUUAUAAUCGAAGCACACAUUAAAUAGUAAAAAUUUGGUUCAAGAAACAAAAGGAUUUGAAGUCUCGCAUGAACUUUUUGGUUGGAGCAUUUUCUCAUGUCAAAUUUUACCCGUUAAAAAUUUAUUAUGAUAUUUUAACAUUUCGGUUGGAGUAUUUUUUUCAUGUCAAAUUUGACCCGUUAAAAAUUUACUAUGGUAUUUUAGCAUUUCGGUUGGAGAUGUAUAAAUCUUAAAAAUGCAUUCAAGAUGCAUUUUUGUUUCUUAAGCUUUGAGCUUUAGGUAAUUAACUUUAAAUGUUGUUGGGCACCUUGCACUAGUUGAUUAAAGAAAAAUAGACCCGAAGCAAGAUUCCUUGUAGUUGCCAAUUCGAAGUUUUCUUUAUCGCUACAUACUUACUGGUCUACAAGUUCUCUCUCUAAUACAUAAUUUGACAUAAAUAAAUACAGUGAAGAGUGCAUUGACUAAACAGAAAAAAAAACAAAAAAAGCAGCACGUAAGCAAUUACGUGCAUUUGGUGUAAAAGCUAAAGGCCUCUGAUUUAUGUAAGCAGUUACGGUAAUCAUAUUAUAUUAUAUGUAUCUUAGUUCUGCAAUUGUAACAGGAAUAAUAUUGUUUUGUUAUCCCCAAUCAAUAAUACAAUGAUACGUGAAAAAGUUAUUUAACAUGUCAUUGCGUUAUUAGCUGGGGAUAGCAAACAGUGCUAUCCCCAUUACAUGAAAGUCUUUCUCCUGCAUAUCCUAUUAUACUAUUAUAAAACUCAAUUGGUCAAUCAUAGUGAAAAAAAUAUAGUGAAAGAAAAAAGAAGAAGAAGAAAAUAUCAAUUAAGCCCCUCUUAUAUUGAACACUUCAAUAAUAAAAUAAAAAUUGCAUAUGGAGUAAAGUCAGUCAGUUAAGAUAGUAUGCUAGUUCUUUUGCACCUGAGUUCAAUUUCCUUCCCCGAACAUUUUCAAAUAAAUAAUAAUAAAAUAAAAUGUGAAUUUGAUAGUCAAUGUCGUAGUAAAAUAUGGUUUUUUAGUAUCAAUAUUAAGGAAAGCCAUUGUUCUUUCUAGCAGAAUGCCCGCCACUGCUAGAGAGAGAGAGAGAGAGAGAGCGGAAUGGCAGAAGUGAGUAACAAGCAGGUGAUACCGAGGGAGUAUGUCACUGGCUUUCCCAAAGAGUCAGACUUGUACGUGAAUAGCACUGCUACUAUCAAGUUGAAGCUUUCUGAGGCCCCCGAGCAUGAGGGUUCUUCAAAGAAACUAGUUCUAGUGAAGAAUCUUUACUUGUCCUGCGAUCCCUACCAACGACUAUUUAUGGAAAGAAUCGAAGGCCUCAGCAGCCAAUCCACUUCCUCCUAUACGCCUGGUUCUGUAAGCAAAACCCAUCAUAUAUCUUUUCCUUUCAAUUUCUGUAAACAUAUAUACCAAAUGUUAUGCUCAAAUAUAUAUUAAUUGUUAAACAUUGUUCCCUUAAAAAAAACAAUUUAUUGCAAAAUUGGAAUAUACAAGAGGUAACUCUGCACAAAUAUUAAUGACAAGAUGAGGUGGCUAAAAGCACUGUUAAUGUCUAUCAGCGCGCAAUGAGCACGAAUAACUGUGAUUAUUAAGUAGUAGGAGCUGAUAGUUGUUUUUGUUACCACAUCCUAUGCCACAAAUAUUAAUUAUUACCAAUUAUUCUUCUAGUAAUGCUUGUUUUUUUGUUGAUGGCAACAUUGGGAGGAGGGAAUCAAAUACAAGUUUGAUCAUAUGAUUAAUUUAAUUUUGUUGGUGUAAACGUGCAGCCAAUAUACGGGUAUGGAGUGGCUAAAGUUUUGGACUCUGGGCACCCAGAUUUGAAGGCAGGUGACUUAGUUUGGGGGACUACCUAUUGGGAAGAGUACAGCCGAAUCCCUGAACCCGAAGGCCUGAUCAAAAUCCAGCACACUGAUGUACCUCUAUCCUAUUAUACUGGAAUUCUUGGUAACAAGUCAAACCUAUUUUAGAUCAUGAUGAUAUGUGUUGGUUUAGAUACGUAAGUGUAUUUUUUGUAAUUUCAUUUCAGGUAUGCCUGGUUUGACCGCUUAUGUUGGUUUCUAUGAAAUUUGUUCUCCUAAGAAAGGAGAACAUGUCUUCAUUUCAGCAGCAGCUGGUGCUGUUGGUCAGCUUGUUGGACAAUUUGCAAAAUUAAUGGGUUGUUAUGUUGUUGGAAGUGCUGGCAGUAAGGAAAAGGUACGAACUUGAGAAAUCUUUGAACUUCAAAUUAAUAUUAUCUACACCAUUUUUUCUUGUUUGGGUUGUAUUUUGCUGUUGUUAUUUGGGCCAACUUUGGUGUUGGUUUGGUUUGGGGCCUCUGUUUGUGCGCUGGGACUACAAUGAGUGGAAAGUUAUAAGGGGUAAGUUAUAAGGGGUUCACUUUAUAGCCAUCAGAUCAAUCCAAGGGCUGGGGAGAAUUGAGAUAAAGUUUCACAAUUGGGUAGGUGAGGAACCCAAACCCGAAUUGAAUAUCCAGCACGUCCAAAAAGAAGAAGAAGAGGGAAACACGUUCGAAAAAGAAGAAGAAGAGGCAAGUUCGAAGUUUGAACAGAAAGAACUCAUCUCUCUAAAACCCAGAGGUCUGAGAUACCCAAUGAAGGCAACGGCUAACGACAGUUGAAGGCAACGAUUCGCCACUCCGUUCUCCAGACCCUGAAAAAGUAUUUAUUUGGAGUAGAAGGGGCAAAGGUGUGGAUUCCAAAUCAAUGAAGGGGCGAAGCAGUGGAAGGGGAAGGGGAGAAGCUAUAAUCGUUGGAAGUGGUAGGUUCCAUUUGUGGAGCAAAGAAACAGAAAGACCCCACACAGACACCUUGCAAUAACCAGCAUUUGGUGAGUAAUUUAUGGAAUUUGAGUUUAGGGUUAGAGUAAUGGUUUUCCUCAAUUUGUAGCAUAAAUUUUGUUGGAUUUGGCAUCUCUUCGUUGUGCUUGAGUUGCAUGUUAAUUUUUGCUUAGGUAUAUGUUAAAAAAAGAAUGAAAAUCAAGUCAAUAACAAGUGAAUAACAUGUCAAUAAUGAUAUGAAUAAGAUAAUGGUGUUGAAUUGGAGGAGGCCCUCAAAACCUUCCACAUUUGAAGCAGUGCAUAGUGCAGAUUAAGAAGAGGCGGUAGAAUAUAUAUAUAUAUAUAUAUAUAUAUAUUUUAUGAAGUAAAUAUGAUUUCCUUUGUUACUAAAUUUGCCUGAGAAACAUUUGAACAGAUAAUAAUAAACUCAUGAAUAGAAGUGCAAAGCAUUUGAUGAGUAAUUUAAGGAAUUUGAGUUUAGGGUUAGAGUAAUGGUUUUCCCCAAUUUGUACCAUCAAUGUUGUUGGAUUUGGCAUCUCUUAUUUGUGCUUCAAUUGCAUGUUAAUUUUUGCUUGGGUAUAUGUUAAAAAACGAAUGAAAAUAGAGUCAAUCACAUGUCAAUAACAUCUCAAUAACAUGUCAAUAACAUGUUAGUAAUGAUAUGAAUAAGAUAAUGGUGUUAAAUUGGAGGAGGCGCUCAAAACCUUCCACAUUUGAAGCAGUGCAGAGUGAAGAGUACCUCUCUGGCCCUAGAAUUUAUAUAUUUUGUGAAAUAAAUAUGAUUUCAUUUGUUACUAAAUUUGCCUAUGAGAAAUGAGAACAGAUAAUAAUAAACUCAUGAAUAAAAGUGCAAAGCAUUUGAAAUGAAGGUUGAUCUAUGACGAUUGUGGGUGACUGAAGAAAAAGCUAGAAAGAAAGAAGGAUGUGGCAAUUGCUUAGCAAGCAGAUAGCAGAGUAGAUGCUUUGCUUUGCUUCCUUCCACUAUAUUUCUUAUUUAUUUAUUUUGUGUUGUGUAUGAGAUGACAAUAAUUGUCAUGUGUGUGAAGUGCAGAACUUGCCUACAUUGCACUCACACGAGUAUGGAUCCAUAAAUAAAACACGUGAAAUUGUUUGUAAUUCACAUAAUCAUUGCAUUAACAGGUAUUUGCACAAAAUUUGUCAUAUUGCUUUGAUGAUGUUAAAGCCUAUGAUCAGUAAUCCGUAUGCUCAUGUACUUUGUAAAAUUUGUAAUGUGCCUGGUUGACUAGUUGUGAUUGUGCAAAUACGUGGCAGUAUAUGUGUUCACGUUAUUUCACAUUGUAUUUGAGGAAAUGGGAUCCAACGUGGAGCUGGUAUGGCCAGAGGCAGAGGCAUAUUCGUCACGGGUGAACAACUGCUCACAUGCAAAUUCAUCUCUAGCUGCAAUUCGAGCGAAGUUGAGUGCGGAACAAUUAGAACAAUUCAAGACAUCAUGCUUUGGCCAUCUUCUGAAUAUAGAUAAGAUUCAGUUUAGCGGGCAGAUUGUGCAUGGGGCUGUGUUGCGUAGAGUAGCGGGGCAGGGUGUGAAAGACUUGGAUGGACUGAGUUUCUUAUUAGGGUGUGACGUUGCUCAGUUCACUCGUCAGGAUUUCUGUUUGAUCACAGGGCUUCGUUUUGGGGAAGUGCCUGAAGUUUCCAGUGGAGAGAGUGAUGUAAUCAGACUUCAGAAAAGAUAUUUUAUAGACGAAGGAAUUACAUGCAAUGCUUUAGAAGAAGCAUUUAUGGGGUGCACAGAGGAAGAUGACAUCUACAAGCUAGCUCUUGUUUACUUUGCUGAGUUAGUGGUUUUGGGAAGGGACAAACAUUUGAACAUCAAUCUAAAUUACCUGACCCUUGUAGAGGACUUGGAUGCGUUCAACAGGUAUCCGUGGGGUUCGGUGUCCUUUGACAAAACCCAAGACAGUCUAUUUUCUGCACCAACAAAGUAUGUGAAAAGCUUGCAAAAUGAAGAGGGAAGAGGGAAGGGGAAAAGUAAGGUAACGGGAACAAGCCGGAGAAAUGAGAAGGGCAGGAAGGAUAAGCAUGGUGAAGCGCAAAGGAGUGGCUGGAGUUUUAAAGGUUUCACGUAUGCUUUCCAGGUACAUGGUAAUAAUGUUCAUGUGAGUUAUGUUUUGUUUUUCUUUAAAACAUAAAUAAUGACUUUUGUCCUGUGAAUUGUGUAGAUUUGGGUAUAUGAAUUAAUUCCUAGAAUGGCGGACCUGAAUUACUGCAAGGUUGUUGAUCCGACCGCUGUCCCGCGUAUUUUGCGAUGGAGAACUACUACGUCUGUUCCAGAGAUGAGAAAGUUGAACAAUUAUUUUUUCCAGAGCAAAGAGGUUUGGUUUGCAGCCCUUGGAACUAUUGAUAAGAUUGAAUGAAAUUUUGAAGUAGAAUGAUUUAAUAUGACUGUGGUUUGUAUUCUGAAACAGUCAGUUCAGUUGCGGGCGCUAUGUCCGAGUGAAGAGGAAAUGAGACAGCCAUAUUGGAGUUGGCCACAGGAUCGCCCUGAUGAGACAGCCAUAUUGGAGUUGGCCACAGGAUCGCCCUGCUGUUGUCUCGGCAGAGUCAAUUCCUUCUUUAUGUGGUGAUCUUGAUCAGUUGAACAAGGUGGUAAGCUUGUUGAGGUCCGAGUUGUUUCAAGUAAAGCGGGAAAAAGACGUCCUUCACUUAAAGGUCAUACGGAUGGAAAAACUGUUGGACCAAUGUUUAGGUCCUCAGUUUGAGCAGGAAGUAAGGAGGGACCUAGCUUUACUGAAACAGAGGACGAAGCGUUGUGUCGUCUCACAUCUAUUUAGGGGAUAUCGGGAAUUGGAUGACAUUCAAUGGGAUGAAGGGCCAAGUAACAGAAAUGAGGGAGAGGAAAAGGAAGAUGAAGGGAUUGAAGGGGGUGAAGGGCCAAGUAAUAGAAAUGAGGGAGAGGAAAAGGAAGAGGAGGGGAUUGAAGGAGAGGAAAAGGAAGAGGAGGGGAUUGAAGGGGGUGAAGUGCAAGGAAUACCAAGUGAGGUAGAGGAAGGGCAAAGGAAAAGAAGUGAAGGAGAGCAAGUGCAAGUAAAAAGUAGCAAAGGAGAGGAAGCCCAAAGACAGAGCAGUGAGGGAGAGGAAGUGAAAAGAAAAAGCAGUAAGGGAGAGAAACUGCAAAGGAAAAAAAGGGAGGGCAAGGAAGUGAAAACACAAAGAAGUGAGGAAAAGGAAGUGCAAAGAAACCAAUGUGAGAAAGAAGAUAAUGAAGUUAUGUUGCUUGGGGAUGACAUUGGCGAGAGCACGGAGGGGACACUGCUUGAGUUUACUGUCGGGGACAUUGAUUUGGAUCAACCUACAGCUGUGCUAUCUCAGUUGAACGUGUGGUUGAAUGAUAAAGGUAAAGCUGUGGCACAAGGGGUCCAAUUACGGAAAAGGAAGAGGAUCAUUCCUAUGUGGAAGAUCAUUGAAGGCAUUGAAUUGGUUCCAAAAACUGGGGCACAGACAACCGGACUGAAGAUGUUAGACCCAAUGAAGGCGAUUCCGCAUGAUGAUCUGGUGAAUUUGCUGAAACUUUGUUGGGAAUGGCGCCAGGACCCAAAGUAAGUCCCUUGCAAUUAUAAGAUAGAAGCACGACUGUAUAUAAUUUUUAAUAUACAGUGUUCUAAAACUGUUUUAUAUUCAUAGUUUAGUGAUGCAAUUUGGCAACGUGGAAGCUGAGAUUGAAUUCUUCGCUUCCCUCGUGAAAGCUGAUGGUUGGCUGAAAGGAGAUGUAAGUGUAAUUGAUUAUGCAUUUGUUUUAAUGUAUAUAGAUUAUGAGAUUGACAAGAACAACAUGUUGCAGCACAUUGAGUUGGGGUUGUAUCUCAUCCGGAAGCGACAACAACAGUUUGAGGAAGUAGAAAUAGCGGACUGGACAACGACAGAUGUUUUUUUUAUGGUAUGUCAUCGGCCUUGACCAAGUGCCGUUAAUAAUUACACAUUUUCCAUACAGACAAUAGUGGAGGUGUUUAACCAUUGAUUGUUUUGUAUUUCACAGAAUCACAUUCGAACUUGCUUUGCGGAUAAUAAAAGAAAAAAACAGCAGCUUGGGUGGAAAAUCAGAAAAAGUUUACUAAACGUUGUAAAUGGGAAGGUUCCUCCGUGUGGGAUGGAUUGGCAGAACGUCUAUACGGUGUAUACCCCAGUUAUGUUGACGAAGUACAAGCAUUGGGUGGCUGUAAUGAUUGAUCUGGUAUUGUGUGAAAUCAAAGUGUACGAUUCAAAGGUUUCACUAAUUCCAGAUGACAUCGUAAAGGAAGAACUCGCCCCGCUAUCAAUUAUGCUUCCAAAUCUUCUCAACACCAUCGACUUUUAUGAAGAAGGUGUUUAUGCAAACAAUUGCAUGCGAGAUUGGUGGUGUCCGUGGCCAAUAGAGCGUGUGGAUGUUCCACAACAGUCUAAUGAGUAAGCACAACUUGCAAUUUAAUUUUAUUACUUUCAAUUGUCAAUUACGUUAGAAUGUCAUUAGUUGAAUUGAUCGAGUUCUUGUUUUGCUUCAGAGGCGAUUGUGGCAUGUUUGUGUUAAAGUACAUUGAGCUUAUCAGCGCUCAGCUUUCGUUAGCUAUUUGCACCUCGCACAACAUGCCUUUUUUUCGGUUGAAAUUGGCUGCGGAGAUAACAAGGGGAGAUGCUUACUUCCCAUGAUAUUGGUUGAAGAUGACAAAUGGUACAUGAGAAGGUUUUGGGAAUGUCCAUUCUCAAACUAAUGUAAAUACACAAUAGAGACGUACGUGUCCUUUUCGAAUUCUACCGCUAACUCCUUCAUGACAUUUACAUGUUUGUUAACCAAACUGCAUUGAAUUGGAAUUUUAAGACUGCAUAUGUUAAUUGGGAUUUGAAGAUGGCUUUUUAAGUGUAUUACACCAUUGCAAAGUGAUAUGUCAUUGUUGAUGCAAGCCACCAUUAUUCGCAAUGAGUUGCAUCAUAAUAGGUGUGUAAACAUGCGAAAGGUUUUCGGCAGCUCAGUAGCAUAAAAGUAGAAACAAUUACAAUAUACACAAAAUGAACAACAAUUCACUUGCGUUUGGACAAGCAAUACAGACACAACAGACAAACAAUAUACACAAAAUUGGCCUGCCAUAUACAGACAUACACACAGUAGACAUGCAAUAUACACACAGUAGACAUGCAAUAUACACACAAUAGACAUGCAAUAUACACACAAUACACAUGCAAUAUACACACAAUACUCCCUUAACACACACAAUAGACAUGCCCUUGCCCACAAUAAUGAUGCAAUAUACUUCAGUCCCCAAGUACACCAACCAUAAGGAAGUCGUAUUGAAUAGGAUAUUAAACUUAACAGUUGUUCUUCCUACUAAAAGAAAGAAUAACGUCCGUUUCCCCCCUUCAUUCUUACUUCAGUGAUACUUGUGGCCCCAAUAAACAUCCAAUAUUGGGUCAAGGAUAUUCCAUAUACAUGCAGCAAACUAUCAAUAAACCUUCAAUAAACAUUCAAUAUCGGUUCUAUAACAUGCGAAAUACAUGCAGUUAACAAAUAUUACAAAAUGGGUUUAGGGUCUCAUUGGUGGUGCGUGCAACAUGUCUUGUGCGGAAGAACUUUCACAAUCUUUGAAACCAUGCAGUUAAAUGAUCCUUAAAAGAACAAAUAAAAUGACAAUUGAUACAACUAAUAAAACUAAUACCAAGUCCUUAAUGGACUUCAGCAUGUUCAGCACUCUAGCAUCAUACGUGUCAUCUUGAUGUUCUGCUUCAGCGGAGGUUACAUCAACCCAUUCGAAUCCAUUGCAACUGGUGGCUCCCUAAUUGCAGGCAUCAUAUAUGGAAUAUAAUUCUGUUAGAGUUAGACAUGGGUUUAUUUUGACCCACAUACAUAUUAUUGAAAUUAAAACUUACAUAGGAGGUUAGACACUUCCAGAAUGGCUUCCCUCGAUUUUUGUCAGAUUUUGAAACCCGAAGCACCAUUGUAGCUCCACAAUACUGACACCUCUUUGUUUGAGCAGGAGAUGAAGACGAAGACAUGUUGAAUCUUCUCAGUUGUACCUCUUCUCACUCAGAUCUUCUCACUGAAACCUCUUCGGACUCAUACCUUCUCACUCAUCGUUGUCAUUCAUACCCCUUCACUCAUAACCCUAAACUUGUCACUCAGCUCUCUCUCAUCUCUGCCCAAAUCGAGUUAUAUUUCUUUUUUUUGGGAUCAUUUGGUGGGUUGGUCACGAUCUCGACACCCGUACCGUCGGCAUUGCGACAUCUUUUAGCCCGAAAAGCAAUAUAAACUACUUCACUACCAAAUAUAUUUUCUGAAAAAUGAGGGGACACUGCUUCAAAUUUAUUAUUUUAUAUAUAUUUCAUUAAGGCAACUAGUUGGAUAAGAAUCCGUCAUUAUUGGUUCCAUUUGAAUAACAUUACUAGGGGUAGUUGGGUGUGGGAAAAUGAAAAAGUAUAUGAUGGGACCUUCUGUCACUACUCAGUAAUCCAUCACAUUUGUAUCAAUGAAUUUGAUAGUGGGAUAAUCCCACAAAUGGCUAUGCAAAUAGCCAUUUAAUGAACUUUUUGACUGUCUGACUCUGUAUGCACCGUUAUGACGUUUUCCCUUCUUUUGUCUUCAGUUUUAAUUCACUUGGGUUCAGUUUCUUUAAAAAUGGUCAACUUGGAAAAACCCCAACUGGAAACACCUUUUCAAAACACUAUAAACAGAGGCUAAAACAAAACGUGUACCCCAAAUAUUCUCAUUUAUCCCCUCUGCCACUCCUCAAAUCGUUCCAUUCCAAAAACUUUUCAAUGAAUUCGAAACACUUCACUACAGUCGGAGGAAAGAGAAGGAAGCAUCUCCAUUUCGAUAUGCCCGAAGCCUUCAUCCCGGAGUCCGCUUGGUUUCAAGUGAUGUUAUACGUGGCAACCGAAUCAUCGGAAGAUCUCUUCCGUAUGGCAUCUGUGUGCCCAUUGUUCCAAACUUUGGCAAACAGUCCACAAGUGUGGAACACCAUUUCAAUGGCAAAGUACCCACACCAUCCUAGCUGGUACCGUGCCAGACCUGCGGUCCAGCAUUUCUUGCAACAAUGCAGGGCUUGCGAUAACCCUGAGUCGAUAUUUAGAGAAGCAUUCGAUAUUUUUUUCAGGGCCAGUAAGGUGGAAGCGUUGUAUGGGAUGCGCAUUGCAGCCACGGCAGGCCAUAUGGAAGCGGCAUAUGUAGUUGGACUACUUGGUAUAUCCGGAAUUGGUCAGUCAAAAGAGGAUGCAUUACAAUUCUUGUGUUCUUUGAAUCAACGUAACAACAUUGAUAUGAAAGGAACCAGGGAUGCUUUGACACGAAGAUUAACCGGACCAAGAGUUGCAAGACAUAUCGUAGAUAUAUUUGACUAUGGGAAGAUUAAGUUCAAUCGCUGCAGCACUUGUAACAACAAUGAAUGGUAUUUUGUUAUUCAAGGCUGGCCUAGUGAAGACAAGAUAAAUCCUGCCUUCUAGACUUGUUGCAAUCGAUGCAAAUGGCACCGUGAGAGUAUUUUUUGGUUCAAACUGAUGCGUGAGUAUGUUGUGCGAGGGAAUCAUGUAUUUUUGCAUUAGUUUUAGUACGAAUUUACGGUUUUGAUGCAUUGUGGACUUACUUCUCUUCACUUCUAGGUUGGCUGGCUACGUUGUACAAAUGUUGUUUAAAUGUUGUUUAAAUGUUGGUAUUUUGUCAUAAACCGUUUUAUAUAUAAAUGUAUAAUAUUUAUUAUAUAGCGGAAUUAUUACUUACAUCAUAGACGGCUACGAAUGACAUUUUACUGACACAGAUAUUUUGCUCACCCACCCCAAUAUUCAUAUUUGGUAAACGAAAAGUCAUGCAUGGAGUAAAUAGGUGUCUUUUCACCAAUGCUUGGGAAUGACAUUUUCCCACUUAGCAUAUUCGACAGGAUUUGGUUACACGUUUCUUAAGCAAAAGUUGAACAGUGAAUGACGUUGAAUAAUUUGUUUGUGUGGAAGGAGUACAAUGGAUGACUUGUAUAUUUCCAUAUUAUGUUUGAAAACAUCCCUUCAACCUAAAAAAUAAAAAAAUUAACAAAUUGAAGAACAGAGAAACCGAUGAGCACUACAAAUGGCCUAUUCGCACGGAAAAUAAAAUUGUUUUAAACAAGUUGGACUAAAUAUAAUUAACAAAUGGACAGCCUAAAAAGUAAUAUCAUAAUAAUUAUAAUAAUUGUGGAUUAAUAAUAAUAAAAUACUAAUGUAGCAUAACCAUGAAACAGGGAAUUCAGUAGGAAGAUGAAAUCUCAAUAAGUUCGUUGAAAUGUUCGGAUCGUUUUUCUAAUUUUUGUGUAUUUAGUUCUGAAUUUUCCAAGAAAAAAAGUAAUUAAAUAAUAAUUUAGGGUAAAAUGGGAUGAUGUGGCCAUGUUGACUGACGUACACUUGUGCAAGUACUCAUAAGUGAGGGGCUGAGAUCGCGCCAGGUGUCUUCUUGGAAUUAGGGUUGGCUAUUUUAGUGGAAAAAUCCUUGAAAAUAGGUAAAAAAUAGUAGGAAAUUCCUAUUCUAGGUUGGGAAAAUUACCCGCGCCUCCUUGUGACGUCAUAAAACUAGGAGAACCUAUAAAUCAUCCGUCUCGCAAUGAAAUAAUCCAAAAUGUUUUACAUAACUCACUUCCCUCUUUACCCUAAGUAUUGAUGUUUGUUAACUUGAACUUCAAUAACCUACUUCAACAAGCAUCUCCCGUUAAUGUUGGGAAUAAUUGUCUAAAAUGCGUAACAAUGAAUCGGAGAAUUCAGCAAGGGAGAUGGAGUGUCAAUGAGUUCGUAGCAAUUUUCGGAAAUAAUUUUGAAUUUUUGUGUAUUUAGUUAUGAAUUUUGUAAGACAAAGUAAUAAAAUAAUAAUUUAGGGUAAAAUGGGAGGAUGUGGCCAUGUUGACUGACGUACACUUGUGCAAGUAGUCAAAAGUGCCGGGCUGAGAUCGCGCCAGGUGUCAUCUUCUUUUCAAUUUUGGAUUCUUUUGUUAAAAAAUCUUUGAAACUAAGUAAUAAAUAGUAGGAAAAUCCUAAAAAUGCCCCCAAAAUUACUCCGGCCUACUUGUGACGUCAUAAAACUAGGAGAACCUAUAAAUCAUUCGUCUCGCAAUGAAAUAAUCCAAAUUGUUUUACAUAACUCACUUUCCUCUUAACCCUAAGUAUUGAUGUUUGUUAACUUAAACUUGAAUAACCUACUUCAACAAGCAUCUCCCGUUGAUGUUCGGAAUUAUUUUUAAAAAUGCGUAACAAUGAAUCGGAGAAUUCAGCAAGGGAGAUGGAGUGUGAAUGAGUUCGUAGCAAUUUUCGGAUAAUUUUUUUAAUUUUUGUGUAAUUAGUUCUGAUUUUUGUAAGGAAAAGUAAUAAAAUAAUAAUUUAGGGUAAAAAGGGAGGAUGUGGCCAUAUUGACUGACGUACACUUGUGCAAGUAGUCAUAAGUGACGGGCUGAGAUCGCGCCAGGUGUCCUCUUGCUAUUAUUUUGGCUUUUUUAGUGCAACAAUCUGUGGACAUAGGUAAUAAAUUCUACGAAAAUCCAAAAAAUGCCCGGAAAAUGAGAAAAUGAAAAUUAUUUGUACAUAACUCACUUUCCUCUUAACCCUAAUUCACGUGUAACACGUAUAUUUCGGAUAAUAUUCGAUAUAUAAUUUGUAAUAAUACAAUAUUUAGUUUCACUAUAUACAAUAAUAUGUUUUGUUAUAAUAAUGUACAUAAAUAAUAAUUGCACAUGCUUUGAAGCCAUCAUUGCAACUACGCCUAGAGCUUUCAAGACGUCAGUUCGUAUUCAAUAAGUUGUCCACAUGCAAGUGCACCUACAGUUUUCAACACGUCAGAGGUAUUCAAUAAGUUGUCCACAUGCAACUGCACCUAGAGUUAUUAACACGUCAGAGGUAUUCAAUAAGUUGUCCAUAUGACGCCGCAUUGGGAAUCAGUAAUAUAUUUUCAAUCAUGUCCAAUCACAUAAAAUAAUGGCAUACUUUUUCUCAAUAACCUCACACAAGUGAAGCAAUUUUAAAACCCUUACUGAAUAUUUGUCCUAGUCUAUAUGAGUGAUUAUAUAAUCAGUCUGCAUUUUUUUCACAGUAUAUGUUAACUUUGAGAGGGAUUCCACAAACAUAAAAUAUAAAGAAAGCAAGAAAUAGUAGGAGAUGAACCAGUAGAAAAAACAAUAUAUAAAUGGUACAUAAUAAUUCCAUAACCUUGUCACAAACGCACUCACAAAAGCUUUUCCAUAAACCUUGUCCUAACAUAUAAUAAAUAAAGGCAACAUUGCAUAUGAUGCAACCAUGUCCAAAUCUGAUACGUGAUCAAAAACAAAUGGACAUGGCAGCAACAUAUGACUGAAGUAGAUGGGCUCUUUGCAUCUUGUGUUUUCGUAAUUAAAGACAUCAAAAUAUUAAGGUUUAAAUCUUCCAUAGUAGUUAGCAUCAAAAUAGCUUUGAAGCAGAGUGUAAAGAAAAUUCCAAUUCCACUGAUUUGCCUCUGCUCAAACACGAGAACCAAAAUGGUUACUUCCCUUGCUGAGUAUAUUUGGUGACGUCGGAAACGGUAAUAGAUGAUCAAUCAAACCCAGGUACGACGAGUUUUGCAUAGGAUCGGAAGUAGUCGAAUCCAGCUUGCAUCACACGCUUCUUUGACUCCACUGCAUUAGAUGAGUUCUUGUAUUUUUGAACAGCUACACUCCGAAGUCGUUUGUGUCUACGCUUCAUGCGCUGCAACUUCACCCUAUCCAGAUUGGCCUGCCUUUUGUCAUCUUCAAUUUGGCCUUCAACAAAUUCCAAACGUGCCCUUGCCCUUUGGAUUUCAUCACCAAGUUGAAGAUGCCUCUCCUUCCAAAAAGCAACAACUCUUUCAGACUCAAAACUUCCAACAAAAUGGUCAUUCUGUCUAGGAAUGUGACAUUGCUUGUCUGGUGACUCACUUGCGUGUCGAAGGCGGUCUUUGUUUGGAGGGGUGUUUAUUAUGCUCACAUCAAACUUGGUUAGUAAAUCCAUUCUUUGGGGGGAAUGAGUUUGUUUGCUUGAGAGAGUAUCAGUAGAUGGAGACAGAUUCGGUGGAGGAGUGAGUUUUGUGUGGAAGGAGAAUUUAUAUGAAAGGGGUGAUAGUAAUACCAAGAAAAGGGUUCCCGCCAAAAAAUAUUUGGUUGAGAAUGUAUAAAUUAAUUUUUGGUCUGAUACAAUCUAAGUUGAAUCCUAACUAGUUUGGUUGAGUUAACUAAGUAGAUGUCACUUCCAUUGAGUUUCUUUCAACCACUAUCAGUGGUGUCAGGAGAGUGUGAGGUUGACAUGCUUGAAAAGCAAAACCUGACACCUAUUUUUAAAAAAUUCCAUAAAAAAAGUACAUAUGUUGACUACACACAAGCUUUGGUAUGUUGGUCUAUAAACCUAUGUUCCCUUUCUCAAACGAAAUUGCAUAUGCAAUCCUCAUCCUCCCAAAACAAAGAGGAUUAUUCAAGCAUGUCAACCUCUUCAGGCGCCAACAACACAAUCGAAGAUGACAAAUUGGAGUCGCAGGUUCUAUUUCCACAUUGUACUCGCCGACCCCUUCCUUUUUCAACAUCAUUUGGGAGUGAGGGGGACUCCGAUGAUCCAUUAGAGGCAAUACAUGCAGUCAGUGGCAAGCUGGAUUAUAAUUCCAGACUGAUCAAUUCAUGGCACGAGAAAUGUGUUGAAGACGAGGCAAUUUUGGCUGAUCUUAACAUUAGAGUGAACAAAGCGUUCUCCCAAAAGAACAAGUACUUGAAGCUGAGUCAUAGCAGGAAGCUGAAAGCUGAGGAGUUGGAUACAGUAAUGAAUGAUGAAAUGAAAGGUUGUUUGCUGAACCACAUGCGAUGCGAAGAGCACCAUAGUGAACUGGAGUUGGCAUUCAACGAAGGAUUCGACAAAUUUCGAGCAUUUGCGGCAACUACUCAUACAAGUUAUGAUUGGAACUAUGUGUCCCCUGAUGCUGUGAGAGAGAUACUAGACGAUGGGGGUGACAUGAAUGAGCAUAAGCACGUCAAAGCUGCUCGGAAGAAGCCGACCGAUACGACUAAGUGAUUGCGGCUACCGCUGUUCAGUUGGUUGAGGGUGACCGUGGUAUUGCACAUAUACUCCCUUAAUGUCAUUAUCUAAUUUCAAAUAACACAAAUAUCAGUUUCAUUUGCUUCAUAUAUAAUUAUUGGGACUAUGUAUUGCAAGUCAUCAUGUGUUAUAAUGUCUAACAUUAUAUUUUGCAAAUAUGGAAAUAUUAUUCAAUAAGCAGUCAAUAUCACAGCAAGCCGGGAAUCAGUAAAUGCUCCUUAUCAUGUCCAUUUACAUUAAAGAGCUGGCGUACUAAUGUGUUCAAAAAAAACUGAGACGUGAGUCAUAAGUAACAUAACAUGUGCUAUACAUUGUUUACUGAAUGGUUUAUGGUUUAUUUUUAUAUAAUAAAAUUCCAAAUAUUGCUGAAGAUUUAUUUCGUCUAUAUGACUAGGGAUAUGAGUGGCCAUAAGCAUGUGAGACCUGCUAAGAAGAAGCUGACGAGUACGACCGAGUGAUUGUGGCUACCGUUGUUCAGUUGGUUGGGGAGAUCGUGGUAUUGCUAAGAGGGAGCACAUAAUAUGUUUUGCAAUCAAAUGUUCUUUUGUGUGUGGAAUUAUGAGUAUUUAUGUAAGUUAGUGUACCCUUUAAUAUUUUUCACCUAAGUAUCGAAAUGUAAUUAGCUGCAAUGUUAUGUUUCAUUUUUACACGCUGCUUUCUAUUUGCUCUGUUCCAACAAAGUGCUUCAAGUAUCCUUCAGUUACAAAAGUGUACAAAAUCGUGCCCCUAAUAACCAGUCGUCAAAAGUGGCUACUGCUGGAAAUGAUUACUGGUAAUGGAAACAACAGCUGGCUGCUGGAAAUGCUGCAUUAGCCUGAGGAUUUGAAAAAUGAAUCUCUGUUAAAACAUAAUUCACCCUAAACUGCCCAUUUUACAUGGUAAAGGUCAUUGCUUCUUCACAUAACUACAAAUUUCAUACUUGAUCAAAUGUCUAUGAAAAUUUAUAAAUAGGGAGAAGACGUAAAAUUAACAUGUCUCCAAAUUUCAUGGAAGAAUGAAACCAAGGAAAUUUUCAUUUCAAUUACCAGUGGACAUAGUAAGAGCUCAUCGGUGGACAUGAACAAAAACACAAUAAUAUUCAAAAACUGAAUCUAUAAAACUUCACCUGAUCAUUAAUCUUCAUAACAACCACAUUUCGUCUAAUACAAAUAUAAAUCAUUUAGUUGGUCCGUGCAUCCUGUCAAAAUCGUCGAAUAAUGGGUCACUACGAUGUAUUGGAGUUGAUUCGUCAUUGUUCGACGGUGAUGUCCUGCAUAAACAUCAAACACAAGCACAUAAAAAUUUUACCUUUUCAUAUUUUAGAUGUUAUUACAACUAGUGUUAGCAUCUUACGGUGUGUUCAAGGCUGGGCAUUGUCUUCUAUCAUGACCAAUGUGUCCACACUCCCGACAGUGUCUAAUCCCUCGCUUCAUUGCCUUUUCCUUUGCUCCCGUUACUCCUUUCGACCUUCCUUUGCACCUCACUCUCUUAGGGUCUUUCAUAUAUUGUGUUUGAGAGCUGGACCCUCCAACUUCGUUAUUACUUAGUCCAUCCUUCAGCAACUUUAACUUCACCUGCAAACUUUUUAGAGUCUCUGACAGUAGCUCACAUCCUUCUUCACUCAUUAAUGCAUCCUCAACCACAUCUGAAGCAAGUCGAGACAUUGUACUCCGCUUUAUUAGAAGGCCAGGAUCUGCACAGUCUUUAAUUUCGUUGCCAUUUGCAUCUGACACCAUUCCAGAUUUCGCAGUUUUCUUCCACCUCUUCAAAAUAUAUUUAUCGGGCAUAUAUUCAAUCUGGUCCCUUCUGAACAAUGCUAGGAUGUGCUUGCAAAUAAUUCCAACAAAUUCAAAUCUUUUGCAGCUACACGAUGCGUGGUCAGAAUCUUUGACAUAUACGACUUCUGCCACUCUUGUUUCCCAAUUUUUCCUUUCGCUCACGUUAAAGACAACUUUACAAGCAUCCUCUGUUUUGAGCUCUAGGAAACAUGCUGUACUUUGUAUUAGUUCUUGCUCAAACUUUUGAAACAUUGUCCUUGUGUACAAGGUAGCCAUUUGUUUGUUCAUUGGCAUCGGUAGAAGACAUUGAGCCACUUCAAAUGCAUCUACGUGAUCAGCAACUAACUCUUUUUCACGUUGAUGAGAAAGUGCCCUCUCAAAUCGUAUUAUGAAAUCCAUCAACGAAUUUCUCCUUGAUAUGUAUUGCUUGAAAAAACCAUGAGAACCUUCCGCUCUUUGGCUGCUUGACAUUCCAGCGGCAAAAAAUUGUCGUGCGUAGGCUGGAACCCAAGAUUCCCUUAAAUCAAACAUUGAACUUAGCCAUGGAUGGUCGGUCAAACCAGCCUUUGUAACCACAAUAUUCCAUUUUGCAUCAAACUCAUCCUUAUUGUCAGUAUCCCAUAUGGCUUUCUGAAAUUCACGCCAAUACUCCUUAUAAGCGUCACGUGGUAACUUAACAGAGAACUUUGAUGUGAUGUGCCAUAUGCAAAGUCGAUGAAAUGUACUCGGGAAGGCUAUUGAAAUCGCUAUGGCCAUUGCCGCAUCUUGAUCUGUAAUGAUCGUUUUAGGUUCCCCACCUGGCAUGGCUUUCUUAAACUCCUCAAACAUCCAAACAAACGACUCAGUCGUUUCCUUGCUCAAAAAUGCACAUGCUAAGACAAUUGUUUGACCAUGGUUAUUAACUCCCAACAUUGGUGCAAAUGUCAAGUCGUAUCGAUUCGUGUUGAAUGUGGUAUCGAAUACAACAACAUCUCCAUAAAACCCAUACGCCCGUCUAGAAGUUGCAUCUGCCCAAAAACAUCGACUAAACCUGUCAUGCCCAUCUCCCUCAAUCUUGAAAUAAAAAGCCUCAUUUUUUUUCUGUUCAGCCAUAAAAUACUCGGUCACUAGUUCAACAUCGUGGUUCCUCAGCUUCCCAUUCACACUACAUUCAAGAUUGUAGAUAUCUUUUUUGAUAAAACCGAUUUUAUCCAUUCCUCCGGAUUGCACCUUGAAAAUACUUACCUUAUGAUGAAUGGGAAUAUUAACUGAACCCAACUGUUUUGUGAGUACUUUGUAGAAUCUGAAAUAUGACGGUGUGAUCUCAAUAAAUGCAUUCUUUCUGAGGGUGUCAUCUUAUGAUUGUGUCCCUCUGCAAAAAGAGAUAUGGUAUACUUCUUGCUCCCAUUUGUCUUCACAACCACAAUCUUAGCUUUGCAAUUGCAUCUACUUAUUCCCCGUUGUCUUUUUCUCUCCCGAGUUUCAUCCUUCCUGUAUGCACCUUGUUUGCAACAUACAAAUUCUUUCCUCAAAAUCUCUUUCUUAUUUUUCCCCCAAAAGCUAGAAUGAAGUCGAAUACCAAAGCCAGCAAAGAAUGCAUAUCUAUUAUAGAAAUUGUAAACGAGGUCAAGCGAGUCAAACUUCAUCCCAACUGCUGGUGUUUCCUCAUUUCUUACUUCAGGAAUAUAAACCCUCCCAUUAGCUGUUGCACAUUCAUCACUCUCUGAGCCCCCAGACAUUUUAUCUACGUAUAUUAUUGAUCCACUUCUAUAUUACUGCAUAGCAAUUAUUCAUUCAUUAAUCAGUCAUUACUGCAUCACAACAUAUCAAUGCAUUCCACUUACACAAAACAUUGCCCAAAUUGACACAAAAUACGCAUAGCCUAACUUCCGAUUACACAAAACGCAAGCAAAAUUUCAUAAAAGUUACGUCAUCUCUUGUGAAAUAAUCUGGUCAAAAUAACAUUAGAACCAACAUGUUCAACUAAGAACACAAAUGUAAUUCAAACCACCAAUUACAGAACUUCACCCAAUAUCCUCUCCAACUGCUUACUCCUAAUGUCAUUAAGCCUAAGUUUAGGUUCUUUUACCUACAUUUCAUAAUUUUCCACCCCGACCAACAACAAUGAACUAAGAAUAUUGAAUAUUCAUAAGGAAAUGACACAUUAUUGAUGCCACAAAUGACGAAUUUCCCACCCUCACAAAAGAUAAACCUAACCCAAUAAAAUCAAUCCAGCAAGUGAACUUACCUCUCAAAAUCAAUCGGGAGCUCUGAAGUCAGUCAGCUUGAAAGAAUGUGGUGGACAUUACAGAAGACUCUUUGGUAUUUGAGACUCCAUCUCUACCAAAAUCGAGGAACAACUGCUGCUGCGGCUUCUAGCUACAAAAACAGAUAUGCUACUUUGCUUUCAUCUGGAAUCUUGUCAGCUGAAUGAAAAAGAGAAGGGGUUUUCACUUGAGCCAUAGAAUCAAAACAGGGCAACAGCUAGGUAAGAGCCAUUCUUCGUAAUACCCAGGAUACCAUAGAUCGCAGGCCUCCCAACGAGCUAAUGACAGUCGAGUGACUAUAAGGUUUGGGAGAUUUGGAUCCUUCUAAUUGUGGGUUUGCUUUACAUUCAAAAAGAAAGGAUUGUGUUCUUCAGUUUUUCACAGAGAGGGAAAGAGGGGAACAACUGAAGUUGGGUUUCUAACGGGUUAGAUUUCAACCCGAUUCUACAUGCACCCUCUUUUAAAAACUCACCGUUGGAUGAAAUCCAACGGCUCUUACAUGCCCCUCAAAAACACCCCUUAUAACUUCCCACUCACUAUAGAAGCUCCCCUGUUUGUGUUGUUGAAUUGGGUCUUUUAGUUGUUUUUGUAAACUCUGAUUUAAGUCUAGUUUGGUAUUGCUGUACUUUUAAAAAAAACUACUUCCGCUGUGCUGCUAGAAUACUCAGCUGUAAAAAAAAUUAGUUAUGCUUUUGGUAAACUAUAUUUGAAAAAGUGCUGUGAGUAAUCCAAAUGUUUGGUAAAUGACCAAAAAAAAGUGCUUUUAAUACGUACAAUGACUAAAAAGGACAUGAUGAUGGAACUAUUUGAUUUUUUCUUCAUUCUUUUUCUACUUAAAAAAAACUUCACUACAUAAUUUUUUUUUCUUUUUUUAUUUAUACUAUACACGUGUUCCUCUCUUCUCAAAAAAGUAAAUGCCUUUUGUUAUGUAUUGAAUGCUAACCCAACGACACCAAUUGGAAACCCAACACAGCCCAUCUCUCCACUUCAAUUUUUCUCUUUCUACCAUUUACAAGUUUUUUUUCUUCAUUCCUUCGUCUAACCAAAAAUAUCUCAUGUUUCCCCCAAUUAGUUUUAGUACUUUUGGGUAGGUGAGACUGAAAAGGGGAAAAAUUGUAUGUUGGGUUUAUGUUUUGGUGUUCUUGCAAUGGGAGAUAACAUAGUGGAGAAAGUAGCCAUGGUGAAAAUACAGAUUUCUGGGUUGCAGCCAUGGAGAUUUGAGCUGAUUUACAGUGCUGUAGUGGGGGUAGUUGAAGCCCCCCCAAAGUUGGGACUACUGCAACAGGAUCUUUCCACCCAAAACCAAAAACAAGAACAACAAACUCAGGUGGAACAUGAAACUCAUCACUCUCUCUCUUCCUUCGACUCGGGUUUUCUCUCUUCUUCCUCAAACCUGCGACAAAUAGAAAAACCCCCAAUUUAACAGAGAAAACUCUAGAUGCAGAAAGUUUGAGAAGUAGAAAACCAAAAAACCAUAAUUGUAAUUAAGUUAUUGAUGAAUGGGCAACCUUCUUAGCAAUUAAUUUUUUGAUGUCCACAAUGAGAGUUCCAGCAGCGUCAGAGAGUAGAGAAGGAAAUGAAGGAAAUAGAGUUCACAGAAUGGAGAAGAAAAAAGGGGCAAAAGACCGUCAAUUUGUAAAAUAAGUGAGGGUAUUACGGGAAAGUUAAAAGUUCAUUAAAACAACCGGUUAAAUUUUUUUUGAAGCAGCUUUUAAAAGCUUGGUAGAGACGGCUUCGAAAAAACAGCGAUCAUUGACUGCGAUUUUAAAAAAAAGCAGGAUUCCUGAUGUUUUCCAAACACCCAACUCAUGAAAUUUUUUUAUUAAAGCUGCUUUUUAAGAAAAUUAAACGCUGCCAAACACCACCUUAACCAUUUUCUUUGCGUGUGCCAAAUUUAUAAUUUUGACCAGUGUCAUGCAGGAAAAUGUUUCAUGCUUUGUUAACAGGGGGCUUUCGAUGAGUAUUUUAUUUAGAUGAAAAGUGAUUCAUUCCUUUCCUUUAUGGAUUCAUCUUGUUAGGUUGAUCUAUUGAAGAAUGAGCUUGGAUUUGAUGAGGCUUUUAACUAUAAAGAAGAGGCUGACUUGAAUGCGGCUUUCAAAAGGUGCAUAUGAGUAAUGAUAGAGAGAUUACAUUUAUAAACCCUAGCGGACCAUGAAUAUAAUGAGUCUUAAAUCUAUUAGACAAUUGGUUAGUUGACAGGUGGUAUACAAAGCAGUCUACAAAUGUGAUCUCCCUAUCAUUUUCCGUAAAAUACAUAUUUAUUAUGUUAUACUAGUUUCCUUUAGUAAGAAAAGAAAGGAAAAAAACUAUUAUUAAGAAUUUGUGUGUUGUUAGGGUUCAUCAUUGGGCUGGGCCAACUCAAAAAUUUUGGGUUCGAGCCGAGCCCUCAUGGGCCGAAAUGGGCCAGACUUUUUGUUAAAAAGUCUUUUCAAUCUUUUUGUUACACAUUUCGUUUUUUCAAAAGUGAUGGAUAUAGAGUAUUCUCUUAAACAAUAGUAUAGAUUACUACAUAAUUUAAGAAAACAAAAAUAUAAUAGCCAAACUUUUUUACUAAACCUAGACCAAUAACCAAUAUAUUUAAAAAAUAUUAUACCUAAAAAUGAAUCUUAUGAUGUGCAAUUUGUGCCUUAAUUAACUUAUAUCCCAAAUUAGGAUUGACAUCAUGAAAAUUAAAGCAAUUUGUGCCUUUAAAAUUAAUAAACCCAGAAUAAGCUUUCAAAUUCUUUAUUGAACCGUUAAAUUUGAACUUGACAAAAAAGGGGCACUAAGAGAUAUAGUGCAUAUAUUGCUUGUUUGUUACAAAAUUUUAGACAACAUUGAAAAAAUUAACUUAAUUUAUAACAUGUGUAAACAAAAUAAAAAGUUUAUUAGUUUAUCAUACAUAUUACAUUAUUUUGAUUAAGUAUAAAAUGAGGUUAGGGAAUGCAUCAAUUAAUCUUAAAAAAAUGAAAAGCAUAAGCGGGCGGGCCGAGCGGGCCUAACCAUCUUGCUAGGCUGGACUUUGACCCAUCAAGCCUCGGACUACCCACUUCGGAGCCGCGGGCCAAAUGAUGAUCCCUAUAUGUUGUAUAUGAUGCUUUGAAGCUUGAGCUUUCUUGAGUGAAGGAUAAAUUUUCUUUGUAAUUACCAUACACUUGCCAGGUAUUUCCCUGAAGGCAUUGAUAUUUACUUUGAGAAUGUUGGAGGCAAAACGCUAGACGCAGUGCUCCUCAACAUGAGAGUCCAUGGCCGCAUUGCUGUAUGUGGAAUGAUCUCACAGUACAAUCUUGAUCAAGCAGAAGGGGUAACAAAUUUGAUGCACCUUGUGUAAAAACGUAUCCGCCUCCAUGGAUUUUCGGUAAGAGAUCACUAUCACAUCCAUCCGAAAUUCGUGGAGUUUAUGCUGCCUUACAUUAGGCAAGGAAAGAUUGUUUAUGUGGAAGACAUAGUUGAAGGCCUUGAGAGUGGUCCAAGAGCGCUGGUUGGACUUUUUAAGGGUCUUAACUUUGGAAAACAAGUAGUUGACGUCUCUGCAUGAAUAAGUUGUUUUGUCAAUCGAUUUGGUGUGCUUGUGUUUCUAACCACUAUAACUUUGUUAAGUGGCUCUUUGGUUUUAUUUUUAUGUUUUUGGAUCCUUUUUGGGAUUGCAUAUGUUAAGUGGUGCACUUUGUCAUACAGAAGAUAUUCAUCAAUAAUAAGGGCUAAUUCAGGAUUGUUGUCACUUUUAAAAAAAGAUGCUUCUGUUGUGUUUUGGAAAUAAUAAGCUGUAAAGUAGUUCCAUGCGUGUUAAACAAUAUUUUUAAAGUGUUGUUAGUAUAAAAAGUUAUGUCAAAACCGUUUGGUAAAUUUUGAUAUAAAACUAGUAACUGUUGAUAAUGACUAAAACAUACAUGAUAUGUCGAAAGUGUUACGUGGUAACCAUAUGGUGGUGGUGGCGGUGGUGGUAUAGGUGGAGGUUGAGUUGGUGGUGGUGGUGGAGGUGGAGGUGGUGGUGAGGCGUGCUACGGGCACCAACUUAAAUACUAAUUUAAUGAUACCAACCUAUGUGGCAUAUGACAUGACAAUUUAUGUCAUAUGCCACAUCAUUUUUUUUAUUAGUUAAGUUUUAACAAUUUUUUGUCAGAAUUAACUUAAUUAUUUAGUUUUAAAUAAAUAAAUUCUGCUCCACGCCUCCCUUCCUUCUCGGAUCUACUACCAUGGCCUCCUUCCUCCCCAACUUGUAUGCCCUUAUUAUUACGCACAUUGAAUUUGGCUUUCGGGGUGUGACAUAUUUUUACCAAUCCCAUGAAGCUUUUCUUAUCUUUGAAUGCUUGAGUGCUAACCAUUGUGUGUUUCCCUUGCUUUAGGAAGAUUGCCUCACUCAGCAAGAAUGCAUGGUGAGGUGUUUGUGAAUGGUGCAAAAUCGGUACAUGUACAUGGCCACGACACCGAUAUAUAAAUGAGAAGAGAAUUCCUUGGUCAGUAUCAAUAUUGCGAAACUGUUGCAGCAUUGAAGGGUUGUGUGAACUCCUCGAUUUCAAGCGAAGUCGAAUAUUGCUUGAUGUGGAAGAUGGCUCAAACUAAUAAAAAUGAGGAAAACGGAUCAUACCAACAAAAAUAUGGCAGAUGGCCAGAAUCAAUAUAACCGUGGUCAGAUUUGGGAAGUGAGGCCAUGGCAGAUUCGGAGAGGGAGGGAGGCCAUGGCAGAUCUAUAAAGGAAUGGAGAAACAGAUCACACCUCUUCCCUUCUCCUCAUACCACAACUCAUCAUACACACCCAAUCGAUUUUGAAAUAUUACAUAAAAGUUGUGAUGGCGCUGGAACUGCAGAUUCAGAACGUUUUUUAUAUGCUUCCCACAAGCAGUCAGACAAACCCUUAGAGGACGAGUGACAUCAUUACCUUCUCAACUUACCAAAGAAAGAACUCCUUCCGAAGUGGUAACCACUUGCCGAUGCUCCCAACUACAGAACCAAGUUUCCAUGGACACGUGUCACCUCCACAAUAGUUUGCACAAAGUCCGACAUUGAAACUUUGUGCAAAACUCCCAUUUUCAGGGAACAGUACCUAAGGAAAAGGGGUAACUACUUUUCACAUUUACUGUUACUCUGCCAAAAUUACCACAUAUACUCGCUGACUUAAGUAUUGGAGAGUCUUCGGCAGGUACCACACCAGUGUCCGAAGCUUGACGAUCCCUUCUUCCUUGUUUUCUUAUGCAAGAUCCCUCCAUACCGAAGGUCCACAACCUUCUCCCUUGCUGAAGAUUUAACACUCCUUUAUCUAAGUUAACCCUCCGAAAAAGAGCAUCAACACGCGCAGCACUCAUUAUCUUUCAACAAUCUGAUUAUCUUAUACUAGUUAAUUUAUGGGUUGUUUGAUAACAAUUUCAAUUUUAAUUUUUAGUUUUCAUUUUCAUUUUUUUUGAAAACUGAAAACAUGUUUGGUAUUAGAUUUCGUUUUCAAAUUAAAAAAAAAGUGAAAUCUAGUUUUCAAAAUCACCUUUUUUUUAAAAAACAACUUGGAAGUGUUUUAUGUUUUUUUUUUAUGUUUUUUUUUUUUUUUUUUUUUUUUUUGUGCACUAUUGUUUGUUGGAGUGUUAGUUGACUUUCUUUGCACACCAAGGUUUCCCAUAUUAACUCAUGCAUAGAUUGGAAUUGAUUUCCUACUCUAAAUAGUAUUAGAAGUUAUUAAUUACCUUACUUAGCCUUCAAGGAAUAUUGUAUUAUAAAUAUGGCCUUCUACAAGGAGAAGAAUACACAGAAAAUUCUCACCACAAUUACUCUUUCGUAAUUUUAGCAUUAUUUCAUUCAUAAGUUUCACAUCACCACACAUGAAAUGCACUCCGGUUACCAAAAGUCGGUAUUUGGGACCUCCCAACUUGGACUUGGUCGCUCAAUUCGUGCUUUUGGCCACAAUCCCAAUCCAAACCUCGUCAACUCCAUGUCCAAAGGUCACUAAAAAAUAAUCAUAAUUUUAAAAAAUUCACCAAAAAAUAUUACGAAUUUUUUGUCAUUCCUGCUUUAACUUUACCUUUUGUUUUCAAAUGUUGACCCGUCCCAACCCAACUCUCAAUGCUCGAAGGGUUCUUUCGUGUAGUUAAGAGUUGGGUUUUCCAAGGUAGGUCUAUAUUGAUUCGAACAACUUUGCGGUAUAUCUGUGGGUAAGAUACUGUUCUCAAAGUAGUAAAGGCUGAACUAAAAGGCUAAAUGGGAAAAUGAAUACUUUCUUUUCUCUUCCUCAAGAAACAUACAUCCUCACCACAAGAGAGGGAGAGUUGCUUGGUAUUUUGUUAAAUAAAAUAAAAUAAUUAAUAAUUGAAAAUAGAAAAUGUUUGAAAAGGAUAUUGGGAAUAAAGAGAGAAGAUGCGGGUGUGAGUAAAAUAACAAUAAAAGAAAAUUAAAUCAAAAAUAAAAAAAUAAAAAAAUAAUUAAGUUUUGGGGAGUAGAAAUCGGGAUGGAGGGGGGAGAGAGAGGUUUUUUUUUAAAAAUUUUUUAUUCGUAUUUUAAUCAAUUUUGAUAUUGUUGAGGCCCAAAAAAGUUACGGGAAGCCCAAAGACAUUUAAAGCCCAAUAUAACAUAUAUUCUCAGUCAUGCGUUAAUCCAAGCUGUAAUUCGGAUUUAAUUCAUUAAAUAAAUAUAAAAUAGUGUACAUGUCAUGCUAAACUAAUAAUACAUUUUCCCCAUGCUAAUCACCUAUCAAGCUCACAUGAACCCAAGUCAUGUGAUUUACGGGCUUGCAUGAGGGAUUGUGGUGUGGAAGGUUACGGAGGUCCACAAGGCCCACGGAAGCUCUUGGAUAACAGAGACUUUGGGCUAGCUACUUGAGAGCACCAAAGUCCAAGCCCAUUACUUAGAGUUCUCCAAUGUGGGUGAGCAAAUGAGACAUUUUUCAAGCACUGCCUUUUACCUAUAGGAAAUAGUCAUUUUCCAAAUACCAAGCUUUACCCGUUGGAAACAAGCAUUUUCCAGCACUUCCUAUUACCCAUUGGAAACAAGCAGUUUCCAGUGCUUCCUUUUACCAAUAGGAAAAAAUCUGUUUAUGAUACCUAGCUUUACCUAUUGGAAAAUAGCAUGUCCUAGUCCUCCCUUUUAACCAUUAGAAAUAGGUUGGUUCCAAUACCUCCCUUUACCUAUUGGAAAUAAAGGAAAACCCUCACCCUCUAUAAAUUGGCACUCAUGGCUCAAGCAAAAGGCACCAAUUUUUCUUCAGCCAAUACUUCCUCACUCGGCUACUGCAAGCAUCCCAGCAGCCACCAACCCCCAUAAAGCAUCACCUAGCUCCAAGCUUUUCCUUCCUUCCAAGCUUUAAACACCAUAGCCUUUAAACCUCAAGCUUUUCCUUCCAUCCUCCUUCUCUUGAAACUCUUAAAUCCCCAUAGCCAUAGCCACACACAACAAAUUAUCAACACCAAACUCAAACAUAUCCAACACCAAGCCAAGCACAUGCAUUCUCAUUUGCUAAACUUGUGGGUCUUUAGCUCCUACACUCCAAGCUCUCAUGCUAAGCUCACAUAAUCUCAUACCAACAUCAGCAAGUCAUCUUCAACUCUUCGUCGAGCUGCCGAAAACAUCAACACAAAACAUGCAGCCGUUGGAAGAAGAACAAAGUACUCUCCCGGGACUUGCUUUUCCCUUGGGACACUUUGGGCCUAGUUCUCGCUAACUCAGAUAAAGGAACAACGAAGUCUUCAUUCAUCACUCUAUGGCGACCCAAGAAUCAACAAAGCCCGGAUGAGCCUUCGAACGAAAGUGACCACAUGCAAAGCUCAAGCUUCAAUAGCCAAGCCCAAGCUUUUGGUUCCUAAAAACAUGCUUACGACAGCUGCAACAAACAAUACCUAAGUCACCAUAAGUGAUAUGCCCCAGCGUCUCAAGCACUUUCUAUGCCCUGACAAUUCUAAUGAUCAAGUUUUAGAGUCAAACCAAAAGGCCAUUGGGAUGUCUCAAUUGCCACAAUUCCAUAAUCAAUCAUCAUCAAGCCUCAAGCCUUAUUCAAGAAAUCCAAGCACUAUUCUUUACUCAAGAAGGAAAACAUCUCAGUUCGUGGCAAAUAGAAGGAAAAUACUACGAAGGUACCGGAAGAACCUAAACACUGUCAAGAUGAAGUUUCCUUUACCAAGCAAUCAAAAUUUUUGAAGUGAUGUCAAGCUAUCAAGAAAAAGAGUAAAGUCACUAUGCAACACAACAACCAAAAUAUGCUUGUAGUAACCAAGAUUCAAGCCAAGCAAAAUGUGGAAGAUAAUGAUGCGUUGUAUGAAAUGCUCCUGGAAGAUAACACAAGCCCUAUAGUCAUGCUGCCGGAAGAGUGAACCAUCAUGCCACUAAAUUUGAAAGAGGAGCCCCAUAUCUGAGUACUGGAAGGCAGCGCAGUGGACUCCAAAACUAAGAUCUAGUCCAAGUGACUUAAGGCCUCCAUAUUGCAAUGCUUAUUUGCCAACACCUAUACCGCUUUCAAGCUACUGCAGACACUAUCAUGCUCAAAUCCUUAAGCAUCUCCCAUUGUAUUUUCAUCUUCUAAUCUACCAAAGCCCUCAUGAUUGACCAAGCUAUAUCUUGAUUCAACUCCACCCACUUGCUCUUUACAGCAGCCCAGGCCCAUCUGUAGCUGCCGGAACAAAAAAGCCCCAACGUAAAUGACAAAACCGAAACACUAAAGCACAUCCACCAUGCUAAAUAGCCCAAAAGCUAUAUUAAACCACGACACUUUAGCCAAUACCAAGCGUACAAGCCAAUGCCCAGCAUCCAAGCAUACAAGCCAAAGCUUAGCGUACAAGCCAAUACUAAGCAUACAUGCCAAUGCCAAGCAUACACACCAAUGCCAAGCAUCCAAGCCAAUACCAAGCGUACAAGACAAAGCCAAGCAUACAAGUCAAUACCAAGCAUACAUGCCAAUGCUACGCGUAUACGCCAAUGCCAAGCAUCUAAGCCAAUACCAAGCAUACAAGCCAAAGCCAAGCGUACAAGCCAAUACCAAGCAUAUAUGAGCCCAAGAUCAAGCGUACAUGCCAAUGCCAAGCAUCCAAAUCAAAUACUAAGAAUACAUGUCAACAUCAAGCAUACAUGCCAACACCAAAUAUACACGUAAAAACCAAGGAAGCAAGCACGGAUGUUUCAUGCAUAUUGAAGAACCAGCCAUGUCAUGCCACUGCCAAUUAUUUUGGGCUGAAAUAGAUUAUUGGGCCCAUCUCACUGCCACUUCAUAGCCCCAAUAAUCAAGGGGGCUAAUGUUGAGGCCCAAAAAAGUUACGGGAAGCUCAAAGACAUUCAAAGCCUAAUAUAACCUAUAAUGUCACUCAUGCGUUAAUCCAAGCUGUAAUUUGGAUUUAAUUCAUUAAAUAAAUAUAGAAAUAGUGUACAUGCCAUACCAAAAUAAUAAUACAUUUUUUCCAUGCCAAUCACCUAUCAAGCUCACAUGAACCCAAGUCAUGUGGUUUAUGGGGCUUGCAAGAGGGAUUGUGGUGUGGAAGGUUACGGAGGUCCACAAGGUUCAUGGAAGCUCUUGAAUAAUGGAGACUUUGGGCUAGCUACUUGGGAGCACCAAAGUCCAAGCCCAUUACUUAGAGUUCUCUAAUGUGGGUGAGCAAAUGAGACAUUUUUUAAGCACUUCCUUUUAUCCAUAGGAAAUAGUCAUUUUCCAAAUAUCUAGCUUUACCCGUUGGAAACAAGCCUUUUCCAGCACUUCCUAUUACCCACUGGAAAUAAGCAGUUUCUAUUACUUCCUUUUACCAAUAGGAAAUAAUCUGUUUAUGGUACUAGCUUUACCUGCUGGAAAAUAGUAUGCCCUAGUGCUCCCUUUUAACCAUUAGAAAUAGGUUGGUUCCAGUACCUCCCUUUACCUAUUGGAAAUAAAGGAAAACCCUCACUCUCUAUAAAUUGGCACUCAUGGCUCAAGUAAAAGGCACCAAUUUUUCUUCAGCCAACACUCCCUAACUCAGCUGCUGCAAGCAUCCCAGCAGCCACCAACCCCCAUAAAGCAUCACCUAGCUCCAAGCUUUUCCUUCCUUCCAAGCUUUAAACACCAUAGCCUUCAAACCUCAAGCUUUUCCUUCCAUCAUCUUUCUCUUGAAACUCUUAAAUCCCCAUAGCCAUAGCCACACACAACAAAUUAUCAACACCAAACUCAAACAUAUCCAACACCAAGCCAAGCACAUGCAUUCUCAUUUGCUAAACUUGUGGGUCUUUAGCUCCCACACUCCAAGCUCUCAUGCCAAGCUCAUAUAAUCUCAUACCAACAUCAGCAAGUCAUCUUCAACUCUUCGUCGAGCUGCCGAAAACAUCAACGCAAAACACGCAGCCGAUGGAAGAAGAACAAAGUACUCUCCCGAGACUUGCUUCUCCCUCGGGAUACUUUGGGCCUAGUUCUCGCUAACUCAGACAAAGGGGCAACGAAGUCUUCAUUCAUCACUCUAUGGCGAUCCAAGAAUCAACAAAGCCCGGAUGAGCCUUCGGACGAAAAAGACCCCAACAGAUAUAAAAAUACCAUUUUUCCCCUGCAGUUAACAGAAAAGUUAACAGCCGGACCAUUUGUCCUAACGAAACUGAAGUUGAAGAACUACGGGAACCAUUUUGAAAAUUGAGGUACUCAAAUACAAAUCGGGUCUAAGUUCAGGGAUUAAUAAAACAAUUAACCCCUGAGUUUAUAAUGCUCGAGAGUAUAUAGGAAGAGGACACUCCAACUGGCAGCUAUGGAGGAGGCCAAGACUAGUAGUGUCUAUUCUGUGAAAGCUAACUUUGCUUUCUUAUUAUCCACAACUUAGAUAUAUCAAUGGCUUCUUGCAAGAACCUCAAUUCUUUAUGAACUUUCUGCCCUAAAAUGCUUUAUCUAAUAGCUCAGACAAUGGUGAAAGAAAAAAAAUUGUUGUUGGAAUCUUAGCAUAAUAAUAUUUUCCAGCCAAAAUCAGUUGUUAGAUUCUCCAACAGCACAAUCUCUUUUCGCAAUCACAUACUAGUCAAUCCUACAGAGCAUAAGAUCCUACUUUGAGGGGUGGAAAGGAAUGAAUUCAACUCACCACUAUUAUGACCAAGGCAAUAAUUUUCAUUUCCAUCACAUGAUUCUAGGUGACCCACAACUCCAUACCACCAACCUGCAAUAUAUACAGAAAAUCCUAUCAAGCAAUGGACAAUGGGAAAUUAAUUAAUUUCACCUUUUAUUUAAGUUUCUGCAUAUUAAACGAAUCUACUUUCAUUAUAUAUUUAAGGGAAAUGUAAGCCUUUUUUUUCGUUCUUUACCCUUUUUUUUCCUCACCUUAAUGGGGCUUGAGGAUGUUUGAAUUGUUCGCUAGAACUACUUUCAUUAUCUAUUUGAGGCAUACUUCAUGAACCACAUGGAUUCUAGGAAGUGAUAUAGACCUUUGUUUCUUUCAUUUGAGCCCUUCUAGCCAACCCGUAUCACUUUUAUCCCUUGUUAAUCACCUUGUGCCUUUUAUGUAAGCCUUUUUUUUCGUUCUUUACCCUUUUUUCCUCACCUUAAUCUAUCAUAUGUUACCCUUCUAAGGAGUUUUGUACAGUAUUUUCGUUGUUAAGGGAGAAUUGCACAACAAUCAUGUGGAAAGUAAAGGAUACUAUUUCCAAAAAAAAAACCUAAUUUCAAACCCUUUUCAACUCGAGUUAUUGAGCCCUAUGAGUGUUUUACAUUUAAUUUCGUAAAGCUAUGUAGCUUGGGAGUCAUUGGCCUAACACUCGCUGCAUGGGUUGAUUAGAAAGCUAAUGAAGAGUUAGAAAAAAAAAUUGUGAAAAAUAAAUAAAUUUCAAGACAGUAUCAAUAUGAAGUUGCGUGCUCAAAGUGCAAGAUGUUAUAAUUUUCAUGGAAAGCUCUAUGAAUUCCUUAGAAUUUGUUCAUCCAUAUCUUUUUCUUGUUUCACCCGUCACUCUAAGCCCCAUUACAACCUUAUUUGAAGACUAUUCUGCUAUUUUCUCAAGGCGUGCAAUAUAUGACUGGAAAGAUAAGAUAAAGACCUACAAUUUACAUAUUUUUUCAGAAUUUUCUCGGAGGAGGAAUGAUUCCAAACGUGGGUGCAAAGUAACUAACGUGUUAUCCUAGUCCAAGUAGGAAGAUGAGUCAAUUACUUACCCAUUUUGGAUUUAAGUUUUAAUUAGCUGUUUCUUUAUUUUUGGGCUGUUGUAAAAGGCCAGCUAAGGUAGGAAUAGACGUGUGGCAUUUUAUUUAAGCAUGAGACAACUCCUUUGGGAAGACGCAAAGACUAGGAGAAAUUGGAGACGCCGGAAGAGUACCACAAUUGGCUAAGUUUUAUUGUUUCUUCCUUAUGUUUUUGUUUAUGUCAAAUUCUAUGAUUAUGUGUAACUAAUUUUAUUUUGCUAGGGCAUGAUGUAUGCCUAGUAUGAUAAUCUAGUUUUCUUAUUUUACCUAUCUAUUGAUUGCAGUUUGAUGUUAGAUUCUUAAUCACUGUGCUUAGUACCUUAGUUGAUUACCUUGAUGCUUGAUCACCAUCUAGACUUUUAAUUGAGUUAAUCGGAUGCGAAUUAGAGUAAAUACCAUACUUAAUUUGAGGUUUGCUUCUUGUGAUUAGAAUUUGUAAUUUGUCUAAAGUAAAUACCAUACUCCUAGAAUUUACAUGCUUGUUGGAGGUUUUCACUGAUUUCAAUAUUUUCCCGACAUGUGAUGCCAACAACAUAGAUGUUUCAAUGUUUCACUAUGGAAGCAAUCACGUAAGGAUUAACAUGGCAGGACAUCAGACAUGAGAAACUAAGAAGAGAGAGAGAGAGAGAGAGAGAGACUUGCCAUUCAAGCAAGAGAAGGCCAUAACACUAUAUAGCAAUAGCACCGUAAAAUAAGAUGCAAAGAAUGAGGGGGUCAUGUUUUCAAGUACCAAAACACGCAAGGGCAUUUUGGUAAAGUACAUCUGAAAAUAAAUCAAGGCAAGCAAAGCCGUAGAUAUCCUCUUCCUGCUACACAUAGUAUUAGCCUACGUAAGGUCAUUACGGCGCCGUUUCCCUUUUUAAUUGGCGUAGUUCAACUCAUCAUCCACCCAAGUUCAUUUCGUUCAAAGCUAUAAAUAACCCCUCAAACCAUUCAACUUUCCCACCACCACUCCUCACUCCUUCAACUCAUUAACCUCUCUCUCUCUCUCUCUCUCUCUCUCUCUCUCUCUCAUCCGCAAAUGGCGAACCGUAGAAGCCUCUUUUCUCUCUCACUUAUCUUUGUGUUCAUGAUCAACUCAGCCAUAGCCACUCCAGUCACAUACAAUGUGGCCAGUUUAGGAGCCAAAGCAGAUGGCAAGACUGACUCCACAAAAGCCUUCCUCUCUGCAUGGGCUAAAGCUUGUGCCUCGAUGAAUCCCGGUGUCAUUUAUGUGCCGGCAGGAACGUUCUUUCUUCGCGAUGUGGUGUUCAGUGGGCCUUGCAAGAACAAUGCCAUCACCUUCCGCAUUGCCGGAACCCUUGUGGCCCCGUCGGAUUACCGGGUCAUCGGUAAUGCAGCUAACUGGAUUUUCUUUCACCAUGUAAACGGGGUUACCAUAUCAGGUGGAAUUCUUGACGGCCAAGGCACGGCCUUGUGGGCUUGCAAGGCCUCUCAUGGCGAGAGUUGUCCCAGCGGAGCAACGGUAAUUAAUUCACUACUUUAAAUAUCAUAUUCAUGACACCAUUAAAUAUCAAAUUCAUGACACCAUUAUUUUGUGCUUCAUUAUUAGUGAGAAUUUUAAAGGUCAACGUACGUACAAUUUGCUUUAUUAUUUGCUACCAAUUGAAUUGAGGGUUUAUAAAAUAAGUUCAAACUCCACAGAACGUAAUCAAAUGGACAUGAUAAAUUGUACCACAAGUUUAGCUUGAUCAAGUAAUUUCGUAAUAUGUGCAGACUUUGGGUUUUUCCGACUCAAACAACAUCGUGGUGAGUGGAUUGGCAUCCCUAAACAGCCAAAUGUUCCAUAUAGUCAUCAACGACUGCCAAAAUGUGCAAAUGCAAGGUGUCAGGGUUUCUGCUUCCGGUAAUAGCCCUAACACCGAUGGCAUUCAUGUCCAAAUGUCAUCUGGUGUCACAAUCCUCAACUCCAAGAUUGCAACCGGUGACGAUUGUGUCUCAAUUGGCCCCGGAACCUCAAAUUUGUGGAUAGAAGGCGUUGCUUGUGGACCUGGCCAUGGAAUUAGGUACGACAUCAAAAUUAUAUAUUUAUCCAUGAUUGAUUAAACUAGCUAAAUGCAUACUAUUUCAUAAUAUAUGUUAUAAUGUAUAUCUUUUUUCUUCAUUGCUUAAUGACAUUUGAACUUAGGACAUCUUUCAAUAAAGUGGAGAUUAAUUGAUUGCUAGUAGAGAUUCAUUGCCUACAAAAAGUAUAUCUUUCUUUUGGGUGGAUGUUCUAGUUGUAAAUUUAACAUUGCUUUACUUGAUGGUUCAGCAUUGGAAGUCUAGGCAAGGAGCAAGAAGAGGCCGGUGUACAAAAUGUAACAGUUAAAACGGUUACCUUUAGUGGUACUCAGAAUGGUCUAAGAAUCAAGUCAUGGGGGAGGCCAAGCACUGGGUUUGCUAGAAAUAUUCUUUUCCAACAUGCUACAAUGGUCAAUGUCGAAAAUCCUAUUGUCAUAGAUCAACAUUAUUGCCCCGACAACAAAGGGUGCCCUGGUCAGGUAAGAUAUCAUUCAUGC